rnacentral:lncRNA from 1 species
UGUUAAAUUUCACUUUGUUGAUACUCUGUUUUCUGAUUAUUGUCCUGCUUUGCUUGUCGUUAAAUCUUAACCUUUCUACUUGAUGCUGUUUUAAUUUAUGACAGAUGAUGUUGACACACGUGCAAUCACCCGCAGAUUGAGGCAAGACGGAAGCCUUGUCGGUGUCCUAACCACAGAAGAAUCGAAGACAGAUGAGGACUUUAAAAAUGUCUCGCUCAUGGGACAUAGAAGGUAAAAGAUUCAGUUUACUUGACAGAGAUAUGGUUGUGAGUAUUGCUUAAUUGGCAGUUCUCUCUUUACUGGUUCAAUUUUCCAGGUAUUGAUUUGAUAAGCGGCGUCUCUUGCACUGCCCCUUACGAAUGGGUUGACAAAACAGAUCUAGAGUGGGACUUUAACUGCGAGGGAAGAGGAAGAUUUACCAUGUUAGUAUGACUCGCCAUAGUUUGUUUUCAGUUGAAGAUCUUUGUUUACAAGUUGAUCUACUCUUUCUCAUGCUUAUUCUUGGAUUGAAGGUCAUUGCAUAUGAUUUUGGGAUCAAGCAUAAUAUACUCAGACGCCUAGCAUCUUAUGGCUGUAAAAUCACUGUGGUGCCUUCAAAAUGGCCAGCAUCAGAAACUCUAAAGAUGAAACCGGACGGAGUUCUUUUCAGCAAUGGACCUGGAGACCCUUCUGCAGUUCCUUAUGCUGUUGAAACAGUCAAGGAAUUGCUGGGAAAGGUUCCUGUUUUUGGAAUUUGUAUGGGCCAUCAGUUGCUUGGCCAGGCAUUGGGUGGUAAAACCUUUAAGAUGAAGUUCGGCCACCAUGGAGGAAAUCAUCCUGUCCGCAACCUUCUUGCAAAUCGUGUAGAAAUUAGUGCCCAGGUGAGUUUGCUCAGCAGUGACCUGUUUAAAUAAAUUUCCAAUAUUUGAAUGGUGAAAGUCAUGAAAACAUCAAAAGCAGGUUGAUUUUUACUAAAUGCCAAAGUUAAUUCAUUAGAUAUCAACGAAUAAGCAUGAUGAUAUUAUCCCCCAUGGAUUUUCAACUCAAUGUUUGAAUUAGAAAUUAGAAUGCAAUGGUUAAGACUGUAUGUGCACAUGGUUGCAUGCAUUUAGGGAGAGCUCUCCUUUUAUUCCAUUCUAGUCACAUUCUAACAUGCAACUGGUAAUGUGGCAGAAUCACAACUAUGCAGUUGACCCUGCAUCACUUCCCGAAGGUGUGGAAGUGACGCACAUUAAUCUUAAUGAUGGAAGCUGUGCUGGUCUUGCUUUUCCUGCGCUAAAUGUCAUGUCUCUACAAUACCAUCCUGAGGCAUCACCAGGACCUCAUGAUUCAGAUUCUGGUAAUCAAAGUCCUUUCUUUUAUUUUACUUGUUACUUUUUAUUCCAUUUCUUGCCUUUCUAUGCACAACAUGAUAUUACUUCUCACUACAUAGCUGAUACAAGUAGCUAUUGCAAUUCUGAAGCAGCUAAUGCAAUUCUCAAGUAAUUCCUCUAUACGACUGAAAGGGAGAGGGAGAGCAUAAAGCUUAAUUAAGUCCUAUCCUCGCUUCAUUUCAGCUUUUCCCUCUGCCCACAAGUGAAGCUGGGUGGUGUUUAAUCAUUUUUCUUCUUGUUGAUGAUGAUGCAUCAUCAUUGCAUUAUGAUCAACGUUGUUGUCAUCUUCACCUCAAUGCUUAUAUUAAAAUAUUGGAUGUAAUUUCCUGCACAUCAUAUCAACCUAGUGCUUUCUUGCUGCAGUUUUUGGAGAAUUCAUGGAGUUAAUGAAGAAAGUAAAACAUAAGGCAUAAGCAGAAAUGUCUCUGAUUGUGGGAAGAAGAGACGGUGAUAAUGUCAGGGUUGUCUUGCUAUCAGUUUUGUUGGUCUGUACGAAAUAGCCGAGAUAAUUUAUGUUUUUCCGUUGUAGACCAUUAAAGAAGUUCCGUGGGCUCGAACGUACCAUGUAAAUUGUCCUAGAUUUAUGAUGUCCUAUAUUUGGUUCAACAAGAGAUUCGAUGAAUUUUGGCGUGCUCAGUGAUUAUUCUUUUCCCUGAUUUCUGAAGAGCAACGCAGAAACACAUUUCUGUUUGUUAAUGAUAGUGCGUGCUCAUACAUGUUUUAAAUCCAAAAAUUUUCUCGUGUGUUGUUAGAAAAUUAUAUAAAUUAUAUCUAAAUUUUAUUAUAUGUAAAAAGGUUAAGAUGGUUUUUUAAUAAAAAAUAAAUUUGAGUUAAAAUAAUUUUUUUACGGUAAUAACCUGUGUUAAUGUAAGGUUCCAGAACAUAUAGAGCUCAUUGCAUGUAAAAUUCAUGACAUAGGGCCGAAUUCAGUAAUGGAGAUAUGGUCAUGGUGGGACGGGAUUUGCUUCCUUAAAGUUGUGCUAAAGAAAAAUAGAAUGAUGAACCUUUUUCUUCUAUCAACAACAGAAGAAGCAUAAUAGUCCAUGUUUAUUUCAGGAGUUCCUCCAACCAAUCUCAAUCUUAUUCCUGUUGAGCCUUGUAUCCUUUCUCAUCCUUUGUCUAUAAUUGGAUUCCAUACAAGGUCCAGUUAAGAUUUCAAAGCAUUCUUUAACAAUUUCCUAUAAAAUCUAUAGUUGCUCAAUAAAGGAAACCCUGUCCUUCUGCAACGUACAAGAACUAUAUUGUUCUUCUGAUGUUGCUUUGUUUCGCUCAGAAGUUAAUUUUGGCCUGGAUCCAUCCAUUCUAGAAUCUCAAGAAACUUCUUUGUGUUCGCAUAAUGUAAAAACACAGUCAGCAUUUGAGUGUUGAUAGAAAAUUGCAACAACUGGAGAGCGAAGACUCAAAGCGGCUUCGUUACAGUAACUCAGAAGUCAAAUUAACUGAUUUUUCACAUGAAGAAUACAGUUAGCUCUGAAUCCUGGUGAUAAAAGGAGUUUCAGUAAGUGUUUAUUACUCAAAAAGAAUAUAAAAAAUGGAAAAGAAAGUCUACAACAACAGCAGAAAUACUGUCAAAUGUUUAUUAUUCAUGAAAACAUCUUUAAAAGAAGGGAUGAUGACAUGGUCUUCUUUCUACAAUCAGGGCUAAUCCAUUGUUUGGCUCUUUUUCCAUGUCAACAGCAUCCACUUCGUAAUUUAGGUUUUCUCCUGUGUCAAGUUCCUGCUCGGCACUUCUACCAACAGCAUAUGUUUCCAAGCUAUUACGAUAUACAGCUAUCAUGUAAAACACCCUCCGAUUAAGAUCCUCUUCAUAAGGGCUCAAGUUAUUCAUCCUGAGGAAGUGUCUCUAGCCUUUUGUCAAAACAAAUGUCCCGUUGUAAACCAUAUACGAUAUUUAAGAAGGCAAAUAUGACAGUUCAGUUUUCAAAUGUCCUUUGGUGAAUGACAGGCUAAAAUUCUAAGAAUAAAAGGAAACAAAGUUUCAACUCUUAAGGACUUAUCCAUUCCACUGGAAUCUACAACCAUUAUUUGCACAUACAACGCGUUGCCUUGUCCUGUGAGUGAAAUUUUUUUUUUUUCCAGGAACAAUCAUGUCAAACCACGUAAACUAUACAAUGUGCUUGUUGGCUGAAUCAAGGAUGUAGCCGCUACUGAUUCUAGCAAUAUGACAGUUUCGCAUAACUAUCUUCUGAAAUUCAAUGAUACCUUGACUGAAUAUCAAGUUCAAAACAGUAAGUUUGGAGUUUCAAUUUCUGCAAGUAUCAACGUUUAUAUUCAAUCUAAAUGGGUAGUUUUUCCAGCCAUUUACUCUCCUCCAUAUCUGGAAAAAGAUAAGUCAAUUGUUAAUUAGCUUAGUUUCGGUUUGUGGCUCACAUUGGCGUCGAGAAACAUUAGAUGUUUGUUCUCAAAAGUAGCCUUGUUUCAAAUCAGGUAAAUCAUAAUAAACGCGUUGCUCGUUUUCCUGAUCAAACAGAUCUAGUUUACGGUACGUCAAAGUCGUGGUGAUUAUCAAGAACGAUGCUUUCUAUACUGACAGAAAAGUUCUUCUGCAUAAAUUAUGGCAGUGCAAAUUCUUUCCAAAUCCUAUAAAGCAAACUCACGCUACAGAAGGAUCAUAUUGUUUCUUUAGUAUAUUUAAUAUAUUGAGUUAGUCAACUAGAGAAAAUCUGGAGACAUCUCUUAGGAGUAAAUUUACAAAAAUGGGGUAAGAUUGGAAGAUAGCUUAAUGCAGAUGGUUUAACUCUGGAAGGAUCCCUAAGUGGAGCUUGUUGGUAAAGAGAAGAACCUGUUCUUAGAUUUUGUAAGACCUUAAAUCCAUAUCUGUUUUCGAAUAUAGAUUGCUCUGAGAUCAUUGAAAUUUUAUUACUGGAGCAUUAAGAUCUUUCUUAGGAGUAACGAUACCUUUUUUCAUUUUAAAAACACGGUGAAAAGAUCAUAAUACCCUUAAAUACAAAAAUUUCAAUACUAGUGUUAAGGGCAAUUUGAUACGUUUAAAAUGGCUUUUUUAUUAUUAUUAUAUAAGAUGGGGGUAAUUUUGUAUUUGGUCAAACAUAUAAAAAAUAAAUUCAAAAGCAUAAUGAAACCAUCAAAAUACCAUUGAAAAAUAAAAAAAUAAAUUAAAAUUAACCUCAAAGGGGUUUUUAAAAACAAAAAAAGAUAUGCUUGCGUGCAGAGGCGUAUGGGAGGCAUUAAUGCACUUUAAAUAGCCUGCGAGCAGCCAACACACUUUGGGCUGCUCGCAAGGCGCAUCCCCAAGUCCAAAAUACCCUUCCGCUAGUGGUGGUUUAAUUUGUUGUCGGUAAGCCUUUCUUCUUCUUUUUUUCCUUUUUUUUUAUUUCUUUUCACUUGAAAAUUACAACCUAACCCUCUUUUUUUUUAGUAUUUCAACUUUAGUCCUUAUUGUUUUGAUUUUUAAUUUUUGAUCUUGGUCUUUUUGUAGAAAUUUUAUUUUUCCAAUUUAAUCAUUAUUUUUAAUUUCUAAUUUUUUUUUACCCUUUUAGAAAAGCUAUUAUUCUUUUCAAUUUUAUCAUUAAAUCAAAACAUUGUUUUUAUCUUUUAUGUCAAUUUUAAUCCUCAGUCUUUUGAUAUUUUUGGGUCCUUUUACUAAAUUGAUUUUUUUUUCAAUUUCAUCCUUCAAGUAAAUAUAAUUAUUUUGAAUCAUUUUAUAUAAUAAUUUUUUUUUCAAUUUUGUUAUUUAAUAUCUAAUUUUUCUUUAUUCAUUUCUUAUUAUUGAGGCCACGGAUUUAGCAAGACGUGUCAAGUUAGCUCGGCCUAAUUAUCAUGAUUAUAAAUUUAUCGUGUUAACUUAUUGAUCAAGAUUGAUUUUUUUUUUUUAUCAUUUUUAUCCGAUUUUAUUCUUUCAUAUUUAAUAGGAUGUAAAUUAAAAUAUAUCAUUUAUCCUCUUAAAAAAAUAUCUUUUUCUUAUGUCAUCCUAAUUAUUAUUAUUUUUUUUUAAAAUCAAUUUAUUUAUUGCGUUUCUUUUUUUUUAUCAAAUUAAAAUAAAAUCAAUUUAUUUAACCCAGUUAAGUUUAUGCGCGCGCAAAGAAAAAUAGCCAGGUCUGUGGCGAAUCACGGCCACAGAGACUAGUUAUCUCGAUAAUUAAACUAGACAGCUUUUAAAAUAACCAACGAAACAUUCAACACCGAAUUGAUUAUGACAGAUAAGAUAAAUGCUUACUAUUUUCUUUAUUAACAAUAUACAUAUCAAAUGCUGCCUGGCAUUAACAUUUUCUCAGGGGCAUAAUUUAUAGGAAGAAUGACAAUUAAUCCCCAGAAACAUGUCCAGAAAUUCUUUUGUUAAUUUUAUUCCCCUCUGUACCUUGGUUUCCUCUUUUCAGCAAAUGCUGCCAAGCCUUCCAAGCGAUCUUUUGUGUUCAAGAUCUGUUCAUAGCACUCUUCUUCCAAUUCCAAAGCUGAUGGUAAAUCUAUCUCAAGGCCCUCAUUGAUAGCCUUUUUUGCCAUCCUAAUUGCUACUGGACCCUGUCAAGAGUACACACAGUCAAAGUGUAUGUGCAACAAACAGAAAUUACCAAAUUAGUGCUCUUUGUUCUACAUCCAAAUGACUUCAGUUUUUACAAGGUUUACACAAUACCCUUGAAAUGCUGUGCAUAUGGCCAUCAAGUCAUUUCGGUAUCCAAAGUUAACAGCAGGAGCCCUUAAACCAAUUCAAUCCAGAGAAUAAAGGAUCAUCAAUGCAUUUCCGGAAGUGCCAAACAUCUUUAAAAUCAUUUUUCCCAGUCGCAUGCUAGAAAAGAGUUUUAAAGUUAAAUGAUGGGAUUCUAGUCCCAUGCUUUUGGUUAAGCAUGAUGUUAAAUAUACAGGGCCUUAGAGCUACCAGAAUUUCCCGUCUUGAAUUAACAUUUGAAAACUUACGAGUUCUGAGUAUACUAAGUUCUAGCAGAGAUUUAAUCUUCUAUUUUCAACAACAACGUUUCUGCAGAGCGCAGAGCUGCACUUUUAUUUUGUGCAACAUGAUCUUGUGUGAGAAAAAUCCUUGAGGUAUAUGAUUUGUACCUUCUGAAUAAUCUCCCGAGCAAUUUCAAGUGCUUUUGAAUGAGCUUCACCAGCAGGGACAGAGUAAUUGGCAAGCCCUGCAACAUAACACGACUUCAUUGCCAAAUACGAAUCAAAAACAGAAAAAUUCAAAGCAGCUACCAAGUAAACAUACCCAUUGGCAUAGCCUCUCUACCACCAAUCUUGCGGCCAGUAAAUAUCAGUUCCUUUGCUAGUGAUUUUCCUACCAACCUCGGAAGUCUUUGUGUCCCACCUGCACUAUUAAAGACCAAAGAUUCCAUAAGAGGAUGAUCUAUCACUAAGCGGCCAAUUUCCAAUAAAACUUAAGAAGGCUUCAAGCACAAUGAAGAAUGUUAAAUUUUUACAUAUUAGAAGUCCAUUCCAGGUACAGUUCUUCAUCAAUAAUAGGCAGGAAAAACUAAGUUGCAGAACAGAAUCGCUCUGGCAAUAAGUUGAGGAGAUACUAUGCAUCCAUGGUUGCAUAUAUUUAUAAAGAAUGAUGGAUGUCCUUUUCUUUUCCGUGGAGCAAGCAAACUUGCAAUCAAAUAAAAAAAAUGAAAAGAACAUGUAGUUCCAGGUAAGUAACUAUGAAUGACAAACAAAAUAUAGUAAAUACCCAGGAAUUAUGGCAAGUCCUGUUUCUGGCAAGCCCAAUACUGCAUCUUCUCCUGAAUCAUUGAUAAAGGGCACAGAGAUGUAAGAAUAACGUAUCGAUUAUCAGGAUAUAAUUAUACAUAAGAAAAUAUUGUUCAGUGUGGCAAAUGUGUGAGAGAUUAAAUCUGCAACUACCACAUAUCCGAAGAUCACAUGACAAAGCCAUUUCAAGUCCACCACCUAAUGCUACUCCUUCAAUAACAGCGAUGGUAGGAACAUGGAGUGCCUACAUUUACAGAAACAUGUUGCUCAUUAAGUGGUCAAGGAGGAGAUAGAAGUUGAGACAAAUGCACUGACAUAAAGACAUCUUAUAAUAAACACAUGGAUCUAAUAUUCUUGGGCUAUAGUAUAGGUGGAAAGUUUUGAAGGAGUUGGCUACAUGCAAAUUCAAAUCUUUGAACAAAAGGUAAAGAAGAGCUGUAAGAAUUUCAUGCAUACCUGGAGAACUAGAAUUUGAACAACACAUACACAAUUCAUCCAUAUGUGGACAUGUAACCCACCCCUGUAACUGUUCCACUCAGACCAAGUCUCACAAACACAUUCUCACAUCAACUAUCUACGAUGUUCAAGUAACAAAAAACAUAAAUAACUAUUAGAAAAGAUGUAGACAAUUAUAAGGAAUCACCUCUAUGAAUGAGAACGUAGAUCGCAAUGAGUUCACAAAAUUUUGAACUUCAGAUGGAGUCAUUGUCUUGCGCUCCUGCCAAUCCAAUCAAAGGCAGAUCAGUCAGGUAUCUGAUUCGCUACCAAAUAUAUGUGCAGACUUGCAGUUUCCUAGAGGAAAUACUAUUGCUACUGUCAUCCUUACAAGAAAGAAAUAAAUAACUAGCAGAAAGGGGAAAUAAGAACAACAAAAAUCACUAAAAGGCCACACGAAAAGCCUCAAUGUCCUUCUGAACAUAGAGAAUAUAAGUCACAGCCCAUAAGUGAGUUUAGAGAACCUGAAAACUUAAAUUCUAUGAGUAUGAAAGUGAUGCAGGAGGAUCUGAACAGGCAGAUACAGAACUAUUGCAAUUGGACCACGGGGAAAGCCUAGCACACACAUUUAUGGACUAGAUGGACAAGUUUAAGCGCAAGAAGCGGUUUAACUUUUGAUCCGCUAAAUCAUUCUCAAAUUUUACAGGAGAAUUUACAAGUCAUGUUAUAUUGAGGGUCGGCUUGUUGUAACUAGCCAAGGUUGUGAAAGACCUUCAAACUAGGACCAUAAGAUGCUGUUUUUUCUAGUUUUAGCAUAUCACUUCCAUAGUUGUAUUGAACCAAAACAGAGUGGGACGAGAUUCAAAAGAAAGAAAUUGUUGAUUAUUUGCCAUCAGUUCAGUAAAAUGUACAGAGAAUCUAAACAACGCAACUGGACUUUAAGAUUAGAACUUAGAAACUCAAAGAGAUGAAGUCUCCUCUACUUUCUAAUUGACUGUCGUAAGCUUUCAGCUAAAAGAGCAAGUUGCUUUCCAUGUAAUCUCUUUCUUUUGGGAUAUAAUGACAUGAGACCUUUCGUGACAUGGCAAAAGGUCUUUAACAAACAAAAUCCCCAACUAUUAUUGAGGAAGGAGAAAAAUCAAAGUCCAAAGAGUGAACGCAUUACCUUUAAAUCAGCACCAGCACAAAAAACCUUUGGAACCGAACUGCAAAUCAAAACAACCUGAGCAGAUUCAUCACUUUCGAUUGUUUCAAAAGCAUUGCGUAACCCUCUUAACAUUUCCUUUCCAAUUGAAUUUUUUGCUGCAGGCCUAUCCAAAUUAACCUCAACAAUCCCUGUUUUAGUAACGAAACUCAAAUGGGUUCAUAUUUAAACGAUCUAAAACAAAAGGGAGUACAGAACCAAACACUAAUGCAGAGAGUUUGAGGUGGGAUUUUCACCAGAAUCCGAAUCUGACAACCUUCGAAGCCUGACUGAUUCAUAGGAUAGGGAUUCCAAGAUGAGGGUUCUAUGGGUUUGGUACUGAUGACCGUUGCUGUAAAUGUAAAGAUUCGGCAAGUUAUUCGAUUUCGAAUUUUUCACGCAGCGAUGACCCAAUGAUCUUGUGAGAGCAGUGAAAGUACCCAUUUGUCUUUUUCUUUGAUUCUUGAGAGAUUUAGUGGGUGUUUGGACGGGAAUAGAGAGACAGGUUCGGGUUUCUUUCUUUGAUUUUAGCUGGGGAUGGCCGUGGUAAGCUAUUUCAAUCAUUCGUUAAUCAAUAUCACUAAUAAUAAAUUGUUGUUAUUAUCGGGUAAAACUAUCAAUUUACUCUUGGAUAUUAUAUUAUUUAUCAAUCGUGCUCUUCCAUACAAAAACCAAUUGUAAUUUUUAACUUAAACCUUUUCAUCAACUAUUUUCAUAAAAAUUAAUAUUUUUUUGUGUGUAAUAAAAAAUAUCUAUUUUUUUAAUAAAAAAAAUAACAAUAAAAGAUAUAAUUUAAUUGGUCAGGAUUUAGGUUUAUUCAUUAAAAAUUAUUAAUUCAAAUCUCACAAACCUCAAAGCUACUAGAAACUUACAUGGUUUUUAAUUUCAAGACUAGUGAAAUUAAUCGAAAUAUACGCAAAUUAGUCUAAAUAUUUAUAUUAAUAAAAUUAGCACGUAAUAAAGAGAGUUUUUUAAAUAAAUACAUUUAUAUUCAAAUAGAUUCAAUAUAUAACCAACUUUAUUCAAAUUUUAAUAAACACGUGAACAUUAAUUUUUUAUAUAUAUGUUAUUUUAACUUAAAAAUGAUAUUUUUAUACACUUAUAAUAAAAUCACACGCUUGUUACAUAUAAGAUUGUCAAUUUUAAUUAAAUUAUUUAUUAGAAAAGUAUAUUAAAGAAUAUAAACAUACUAAAAAAUUACGUACUUUUUUUCAUAGAAAAACAUAAAUGAGAAAUAAUGUAAUAUAGAAGAGCAUGUAUUAAUAUAUUUCCCCUCCUUCUUUUUCUUACUGCUUUUAUAGAUAAAAACCUAAGCCUUCAAUGGAUCCUUGGCAACAAACAAUUCAUUUUGAUGAUUUAGAUGAAAAUCAUGAAACAGAAGAGCAGCUCUCGCAUUAACAAACUACUUAUUUGCAUAACUAAUCAUUGUUUUUAAAUUUAAUUUUAUCCGUUUUAAAUAAUAAUUGAUUUUUAAAAUAUUUUUUUAUUUAUAAAUAUAUUAAAAUAAUAUAUUUUUUUAUUUUUAAAAUCAAUACUUCAAAAUAAUCUAAAAACACCAAAAAAAAAUUAAUUUAAAAAAAAAAAAAUUUAAAUUGAUUUUGAAAUCCAAAAAACAAAAACAAAAUAAAAAUGCGUAUUUAAACUAAUUAUGGAAUAUUUAAUUUUAAUUUGUACAGCGAAAAUAAAAGAAUUUGCAUAACAUAAUCUGAAAAUUUUAUAAAACCAAAUAGGUUUUUUGACUUGUAUAGUUAAAAAAGAAAGAUGAUUAAGCUGAAACAUACCAAUCCCAGCCCCUUCGUGGUUGUUCAUCAUUUUUUAGGUGAUGAGAGAUAAGAUUCGGGUUUUUCUAUAUAACCCCCUAGAUUGGAUUCGAGAUGUUUGCCAGGCUCAACGAAGACAACUUUCUCGGAUUGGUCGAGCAAAAACAUUCCAAACAAUCAAUUGAACAAAUAAAUUGAAACACAACUAGAACACGACCAAACCUAACUCAAAUCUCUACCGCUUUAUCAAUGAAGAACAUAGCUAAUUCUUUCACUUCUAUGGACCAUCCAACUAAACAAACAACACAAGUUAGAAUGCAACGAAGAAGACAAUCUCAAGCCCAAAUUCGAUCUGACUUUGCGGGUACCUUGUUAAGCAAGAUCGAAUUUGUGCUUGAGCUCGACUUCUACUAUGCAAUGGACGAAUCUUCGAUCAAUUCAGCGAUCUGGGUUCUUUUGGUAGGAGGGAGAGCAGGCUUCUGAUGGAUAAUACCAUACACACUACUAUCGACUGUCUUUGGUAAACGGCGAGCUGCUCUUUUUGUGAAGGCUAUUUUUAGGGUUUGGUAUGUGGUGGUGGAAAUUGGAGAAUAAUGAUUGAAUCACUCUUUACACGUGAUUAUACUCAAUUGGCUUCAAGCUGAAAACUUGCCCCGCCGACUAUGACUGUAGUCCGACCGUCAUAGGCCUUAUACAGGCGAGGGUCUGACACUUUGGGCUCAAAAUGAUACACUUAUCGAGAUUCGGUAGUUAAGAAAAAAGAGGUGGAAAAAAAAAAAAAAUCGAAGUUGUUGACAAAGUGUCUGGCCAAAGGCCCAGGUCAUCGUGUAUCAUCCAAGUACAAGUCCUCUACAGAGUUUUCAACUUAAAGCUGUUAUAGCCUAUGAACCCAUCGUUCAAGUCGAAGCUGCUUCAUAGGAGGUCCCAAAUUUGGCUUACUCUUCUGAGGACACUUCCAUUUUCCAGUGACUCCAAUCACAUCAGGGUGUUCAAGAUUAGAAACUUCUGAUAGCACCUUUCUUUUUACAGCGGCAUCCUUUUCACCAUCUCUUGAAGUCAUCCCUCUACCUUUUGGACAUUCCAACAAAAUCUGUUGUUGCCUAUGCAUGUCCAAAGAAUUUUCAGCAUUUGGUUUCGCAAUUCUACUCUUCCUUGUUGUAACAAAACCAUUUCGUUGAGCUUCUUUUCCUUCAUUUUCUUUGUUAUUGCUCCUUCCAUGGGUUGACUGACUCGUUGAAAAAACUCCGGCACCUCGAACAAAGUUCGCAUUGCCCCGAGGUGAUACAAGAUCAAUUUCUGUUUGAGCUUUAACCAAGUUUUCUGCGGAAUCCUUCCUGCAGUUCAACGUUGUUGCAGAUUUAUCGCUUGAUCUCACAUUACUCGUGACUGACAUAAAACCAACUUCUUGCGCUAGAUUUUGCAUCUGUGGCUGUUUAAAUGGAGGCACUUCUAACCUCAAGCUUGGUUUCUCAACAUCUUUGGUUGGAACAAUAGCAUGGCUCGGAACUGAUUCAUCUUCCAUGCUAAGCUCCCCUUCAUGGUGCAGAUUAUCCAGAAUAGAUAAGCCCUCUUUCUCUACAUCCCAAGAGUCCUGUGAUGUGAAAAGUGGAUGUACAAAUGACUUGGAGAAUCACUAAAAAAACACCCCCUUCCCCUUAAGACCAGCUAAAACACCAUCAUGCUGAAAAGAAAGAUAUUAGCUAUAAAACCUGUCAAACAUGUCAAAGCUGACCUGAGAGGGAGAAACCUUAUUCAAGAAUUUUUCCUGUUUAUGUUCUCCCAAGGAGCUAUUGAACUUCAAAAAUCCAUUUGAGUGUUCAAUUUCAUCUGAACUUCUGUUUUGUCCUAAUUUCCGUGAAUUCGUUUCUUUAUCUCUCUUGCUGUCUUGAUUAGCAAAAUCAUCUCCCUCGCGUUCAGUUUUGUCAUGAAGAAAUCCAACGCUUUCACCCAGUACAGGAGAUUCAUACACGUAGCUGGGAACCAGUUCCUUAUGUCAGGUGGCUCUGGCAGACAAGAGACACAAAACAACGUUAUUACCCUAUAAUUAGCUAGUUUAGAUUUUUCACUUCCUUAUUUUACUCUGAAAGAAUCAAAGUGAAAAGUAGAUUCCCGUGGUUUUUUCAGCUUUCGUUGAUUCAGUAAAGCCAAGGAAGCAUGUUCUGAAAGUGCUACUAACCAGAAAGGAAUGAGGAUGAUUGAGAAGAAUCUGGAACCUGCAACGUUCAAAUAGUAACUAACUUCAAACACCAUAUGAUGGCUGAGAAUUUGCGCAACAAGUGAAAGAAUAUCAACAGUGAUCAAUGUAACACAAGUAAGAAUGAUGGAUUGAGCAAAUGCACCUUACUUAAAGGCUUGUUGUCACACGCAUCUCCAAAUGACCUCUUACACUUAAUGGACCCAUUUGAGGAUGGCUUCUCAUUAGCACGUACUUCAUUGUUGUUUCCAGAGUUGCUCAAAUCCCCAGCCUUUUCUUUUCUUCUGUUCUUACUCUCUUCAAUAGCAAAUUCAUCCUUCUCACCUUCACUUUCUUUAAUAACAGAUUCGAUAAAAUACUCCGCUGUAUCCAGAACAGGAGAUUCGUACUCAUAGCUCGGAAACCAGUUUCUGAUGUCAGGAGGCUCUGAUAAAAGAGACAAAAUAAGUUUAAAACGGUUUCGUGUCCUUAGUUUAUUUACUUAAAGGACAGAAUGGUGAGAAUUGAAGGUAUCUUUUCUUUCUUAGAUCACAAUGUCAGCCAAGAAUACUAACCAGAGAGGAGAGACAAUGAGCACAAAGAAUCGGGCAUCUAUAACGAAAAAUAAGAAAGUGUGUUAGAUAUGAGAAACUUUUAGCAUGUAAUUAUUUUAUUUAUUACUUGAACAAACUAGAAGAUACAAAUACAUGAUUAUGCUAAAUAAGGGACACCAAGAACCCAAGUCAUUGCCGGUGACAAGAUCACGAUGUUCAAAUCUAAAUCAAUCAAUUCUAUCCUAACCAAAACAACGGUAAUUGACAGGAAGCCUAUUAUUGAAGUGUGCUAAAUAUAGUAAAAACCACAGGUAAGAACCUCACCCAUCCAUGAUUGUGUCAAUGAAUCACAACACUGAAAUCCAGACCCAAAUUACAAGUUACAGCAAUCAUCCAUUUGAUAAAAGAUAUGGAUUGGUAGUAAUUUCCAAUUUAGGUGCAAGAAAGUAAGAGGUCAGUAAUUAUACCUACCUUAUUAAAAGACUGAUCUUCGUGCUGCUUAUCAUCAUCACUGCUGUUGUAACCGAUUCUUGUGGCGUCGCAAGAAAUUGUUUCCUUACCUUUACUUCCCUCAAUGCAAAGACACCCAUCUCUCGUACACUCAAAGUCAGUUUCCUUAGGGAUAGGACCUCCAAAAACAUCGUAAGUAUCCAAAACAAAAGAUUCAUACUGGUAACUAGGAAACCAGUUUCUUAUAUCAGGUGGCUCUGCAAGAAACCAUAUAAAGAAACUUGGUUAUAUAGCCAUUUCAGAAUACAUUGUUUUUUACUCAAGAAAAUGGAUAGGUACCAGAAGGAAGCGGCAAAGAAGAAUCAGGAACCUGCACAAAGUAAGUGGGGAAGGUCAGAAACAGAAAGGAGGAUAUUUGGGUUUGAGAGAAAGAAAUGAUGCUUACCGCCUGAGAAUCAGAAUCAGAGGUGUUUUCCAUUAGAGAUUGAUCUCAAUAUCAAUCUAUCUAUCUAUCUAUCGCAUACCAUACAAAUACUACAAGGAGAUUGACCGGGGGCUAUAGUAAGUACUAAAUAAUGAAGAAACUAAAGACUGAUCAAAACUCCAAGCCCUAGCUAGGAGUAUAAAAAGAAAGAGCUCUAAAGAGUUAAGACUUAAUUUAGCGUAUGAACAAGAAGAAAGAUCAAAAACAAGAACUGUUUCUUUAUCUUUGAUUCAUGGUUAUUAUGGAUGCUAGUGUGUGUUUCAGUGUUUGCCUUCAUUUGGGGUGCGUCAAGUUCUUGGGGGAACUGUGGGGUUUUGUAUUUUUCUCUGUAAUUAGGAUUUCUUUCACCUUUUGAAACCUAGCGGGACUCUUUUGGCGCCUGUUUUUUUUCUUGAAUUCUGAUGGGCACAAGCCUAAGCUCUUCCGACAAGCCCAAGCUCAACACAAUAAGGUUUGGCAGGCCUGCCUUCAACGACUGGUCCAGAUAUUUAACCAUCGAGAGUUAUGGGUGCGCUCAAGGUUGAACCGAGAUUCAAGCUAAACAUGAAAGGACAUAUUAUUAUUUAAUAAAAUCUAUUAAUCCUUUUUUAUGUUUUUAUAAAAUAAAUAAAAAAUAGAGUGAAAAUUUAAUGACUUAAUUCGAGAGAUCAGAAGAAAUUAAAAAAACAUUUUUAAACUUGAAUCAAAACAUGACAUUAUAAGCAUGUUUGUUUUUACAGUGAAAAAGUUUUUUUAAAAAAAAUAUUUUAAAAAUUAUUAAUUUUAAAUUACUUUUUUAAUAUUUUUAGAUCAUUUUAAUAUUUUAUAAAUAAAAUAUAUUUUGAAAAGCAACCAUCACAAUGCUAAACAAACUCUAUAAUAAUCAAGUUAUUAAUUUCAUGUUUUAUCUAGUUUAUGACGGUUUUAUCUAGUUCAUGAAAUAAUUUCAUGUUAUUAUUUCUUCUUCUUUUUUUAUUGAUGUUCCUGGUUUUGGCUACUAAACUUAAAAAGAUUUUGUAAAAUUAAUUCACAACUUUUUUCAAGUUGAACAGUUUAUUUGAUUUGAUUUUAGAAUAUUUUUAUAUUUAAAACACUAAGAAAAUAAAUUAGAAGAUUCUAAGAUAUCAUGAAAUUAUAAUCAUCAGUUAAAGAUUUAAACAUUUUAAGAAACCCUCUUCAUAUUUAAAUAAAAUAUUAUAAAAACUCUCCUUUUAUAUUCAAAACACCCUUAAUUACUAUUCAAAUAUUGGAUAAAUUAUAAACUUAGACAUUAGAAAAAGAUGUUCAAAAAUUAAAAAAUCAAAUCAAAAUCAACCAAAUUAAAUGAUGAAUUUUAUAUUCUAUAUCUACCAAAUACAUAUAUUGGAUUGAAUUUCUCAUACGCAGCAUUGCCAUACGAACGGGGACAAGGCUUUAAAAUUACACCUGGGAUUCCUCAGGUAUUAUUGCAUGUGGAUUUUCACUUUUUCGUCCUCACUUGAUCUUUCGUCACCAGGCCACCAACCCAAACUGUUCUGAACAGUAUAAACCAUUCUAACCAGACUCUGUAGAUUGAUUUUUGUUCUAUUAACAAAACAAUUCUGUCUAAUUUUGAACUAAUUUAAAAGAGAGAGAGAAAAGCAGAUUGAAACUGGGCUUCGACAAAAAGCCCAACUCUCCCUGGCGUGGCUUAAAGCUAACUCGCUUGGGCAACCCAGGCAAGCGCCAGCUAACCCUGGUCAAGCCCAAGGUUCCCGGUUGAACCCACCUCUCUCUUUCAGUUUUUUGUUUCGUCUUUAAUUUCAAUUUCAAGACGAUGUUUUUAUGACGAUGACACGGCGAAUCAUGCAAGCUCUCUUACCGCCAAUGAGGCCUGCCCUCUUGUUCAACACAUAAGAAUCUUUUAGUCGCUACAUGGUAUAUAGUCGUACUGAUAGCGCCACCCUAGCUUGCCGCCCUGAGUACGAGUAGGGUUGGCACCGCCGCACUUGUAAAAAAGAGGUAAUAACAUUUCCUUUUGGGAGACAGAGGUAGACACUCAUCUCGAUGACACACUGAAUAAUCUUUUCACCUGCUUAUCCUUAAACUAACAAAAACUCAAAAAACUGAAUGAGGCAUCAGAGAGUUUUUUACAUGUGACACCAACUCAGCUCAUACCGGUGUCGUUUAAUCCAUCAUCAGCUGUGAAAAAACCCGAAGAUCUUUCAAAGCUUCUACCACUUCAUCUAACCCUACAAUCUAUUUUUAGGGCAUAACGAUAUUCUUAGGGUUAGGAGUAUAAAGUGUGAGGAGAGAUGAACGACAAAUCUUCUGAGGGGGACGCGACCAUUCAAGCGGCGUGGACAGAGGCGUGGAGAAGACUUAGCCAAGGUGCGGCCAGGCGGUGGAGACGACUUGGCUAUGAAGAGAGGUUGUGCGCGUAUUCAGGAUUUCCCAUGUAGGAUAAGGGACCUAAGUAAGGUGCGGCUUGAUGAAUUUUGUAAAGGAGUCCGAAUUUCAUGCCUUGAAUUAGUGUAAAUUAAUAUGUUUAAUCAAAAUAUCCAUUGAUUUAAAUGUGUAAAUUAAAAGAUUUCAUCCAAGAUGUGCGCGUCAAAUUAAUCCACCUAUACUUCAAAUGUGUACAUGAACAAGCAUGGAGAGAAGUUCCUAGCCCUUUUUUCCGGCAACAAAAUAUGAUUUUUGUUUUUAGCAUUUUAAUUAAUAGAUUUAGAGAAAAUAAUCUGCGUCGGUAUUUUCUUGGAAGGGCAUUGUUAAUUGAUUAUACGUGUAAAGCGUUAAAAUCGGCGUUCAAAUCUCGGAAGACCAAUUCAAAAAUUGCCUCCUAAAGUUUUCUUUUUAUUAUUAUUUUCAAAGAUGUUCACACUAAACAUUAUUAAAAAAUAAUUUUUUUUAUUAGGUUUGGUUUUUAUAAAAAAAAAUAACAAAUCAAAUUUUUUAAUAAAAAAAAUUAAACCAGUUCAAACCGAUCAAUUUUGGUUUAGUUUGGUUUUUUGGACAAAACCGAUCAAACUGGUUUGACUCAUUUUUUUCGUUUGACUUGAUUUUUUUAUUUGGCUCGGUUUUGACUUGGUUUUUUGGUUUUGCUCGGUUUUUUUAUUUGACUCGAUUUUUUUUAGCUUUUUUAUUUGGAUUCGGUUAAAUUCGAUUUUUUAAAAAAAUUAAUCUGUUUUUAUAAUUUGAUUUUUUCAAUUUUUUUUUAGUUUUUUUCUAAACAUUCAACAAUCUUUCAAAAAGCUCGAACACGAAGCCUUCAUUAAUUUUAUAUUGUUCCCUUACAUAAGAAUUAGGCUCGCACGUUGUAAGCAAGUUCUGAGUUUUUUGUUUGUUUACUAUAAAUAGAAUCUGUCAGCAUAAGUCCAAACCCUUAAGGAGGCGGCUGUAAGAAAUUAAAGAUUUAUGCGUUCUUAUUGUAUCAUCGUUCAUUCCUAAAAUGUUUUUUAUUUAAAAAUAUUUAAAAAUCUAAAAUAUAUAAAAAAAUUAACUUUAAUUAAAAAUCCAAAAAUUUUUUAUCACAAAACAUACAUAUUUUUUUUAUCUCCCAAAAUUACUAAAAUCUUAUAUAAGUAUUAACUUCAAGAUCCGUAUGAUUAACCAACACAUAUACAAACUAAUCUAAACACCUAAAUUAAACCAGAAAAAAAAAAUCACCAUUACUUGAUCUAAUUCUUUUGUACAGUGCAUAAACGUGUUCAGAGCAGUUCCAAUUUCUUAACCCCAAUCUUGUCUCCACUCUGAAACACUUUUUCCACCCAUUCGUGCGCUCUGCUCUUGGAAGCAACCAGGAAGAACAAACCAGAUGGAUAAGAAAUGCCUUGCCUUGUAAGAUUUAAAAGAACAAUAAUAACCUAACAGCCUGUAUUUUUAAGCCCUAGCCGUCAGACUGUCCCUUUGACUACGAUCUUCAACUCAAUCCAACGGUUCAGAAUGGAUGAAGACUGCGAAGCGGGGAAGAGUUCUGUGGUCAAAGAAGCUCCGUGGAAAAGUCGCCAUUUUUCAUUAUUCGUGUCAAACCCUCUGUGCGUAUGUGUAUAUAUAGACCCUUCCCACUACUCCUUCCACUCCCAUUCUCAGCUCCCUGAAUAUUUCAAAACACAACUAGCUUUAGAUUUAGAAGGGAAAUCUCUUAACCUCUUCUUUUGUUCUUUGAAAUAAUUUUGAAGCUCAUCUCGAUCCAGUAUUGCAAAAGAUGGAAACGGAUCAAACUCAGCAGUAUCUUCAGCCUUAGAGUUCAUCAAGCAACAUUUGCUUGGCGAUCUUCUUUACCUGUUGCUACUCCUCCGCUUCUUUUUAUCAAUUUUCUACAAAUUCUGAAACUCUACUUCCUUACAGUGUGAGACUACUAGCUGCUCAAGUUCUGACUUUUCCAUGGCACUCCCUGAUUGUUUCGGUUCUCUUCUAGUUCACUUCCGUUUUGAGUCCCGCUCAAGAGAACAACACCAAUAUCUUCGAAUUUGAACCUAAACCUGAAAUCAUUGAUCUCUUUACGCCAACCCCACUCAACUCAACCUCCCACAUCAAUUUCCAAUCAAGCAGCAGCGGAAGCGGCAGCAGCGGCGGCAGUAACUUCUUCGAGUUUGAAGCCAAACCUCAAAUUCAUCAGAAUUUCGAAUUUGAGUCGAAACCACAAAUCGUUUCUCAGCGAAGCAACAGCUUCUUCUAUGAAGAACCAAAGCCUCAGGUUCAAACAGCUCGGAAACGCUCUUUGAAAAUAUCGCUGCCUAGCAAAAAACCCGAAUGGAUCCAGUUUUCUUCUAACCCAAACCCGCAAACCGUGAAGGAUAAUUCUGGUGUUGCUGCUCAAGAGAUAAGGCAUUACAGAGGAGUCCGACGCAGGCCAUGGGGCAAGUACGCAGCGGAGAUCCGGGACCCGAACCGGAGAGGUUCACGUGUGUGGCUAGGAACCUUCGAUACAGACCUUGAAGCCGCUAAAGCCUAUGAUCGAGCUGCCUUCAAGCUGCGUGGGUCGAAAGCGAUUCUCAAUUUCCCAUUAGAAGCCGGGAGGUGUGAGGAGGAAAGUGAGAGGAAAAGAAGUAGAGAGGGUGGCGUGGAAGAGAGAGAGGAUGUGAAGAGGGUAAUGACGGUGGUUAAGAGGGAGGAACCUGAAACUGAGGGGGAUAUCCAGUUGACGCCGUCAAGUUGGAUGGCUGUUUGGGAUGGUGGUGAUACGAAGGAUGUCUUCAAUGUGCCCCCGUUGUCACCGUUAUCUCCUCACCCGCCAUUGGGAUUCCCACAUCUAACGGUUAUUUGAUUAGAAGUUUCUCUUCAUGUUAUUCCAGAUUCUUUUUUCCAGAAUGUGUGUAUAUUAGAAAAGAAUAUUAAUUUUUUUUCCACAAUAAUAAUUACUAUAUUUUCCCGUAAUCAUUAUUCGAUCCAGCCCUCGAAUAUCUGUUCGUACGAAGAACUAUAUGAUAAUAUUAUUAGUAGAGAUGUCACAUUUUUACCAUGUUAUAUGCCUUGCGUUAUUACUGGUUUUCUAAAAAAAAUAUUCUUUCCAAAUAUAUCUAAUUAGUUUAAAAAUUAACCUCAAAUAUGCUUCACAAACAAGACCGCAAUCCAAAGUCAUAAAGACAGAUUGUUUAAUCUUACGUAUCUAUGGAUCUUAAGAAAGAUAUCAAGCGGGAUCCGUGGCAGAUGAUUGGCAACUCUAUCAUCAACAAAAGUAAAACCUAAAUAAUUUUUUUUGUCUAGUUUCUAGAAAUUGAACCUUGAAGCAAUUAACAAUGGCGGUGAAAGCAAGUCUUACGGGGCCUGCAAGCAUGAUUUUUGCGUUAAAUAUUCGAUUUUUACCUGAUUAGUCAAAAUCUCCCUGUGCAGAAUGAACGGGUCUUCCCAGUGGCUUGUCCAUGCCUAUAUAUAUAAUUUUAUUUUGUAUGGUACGACUUAAUGUCGAAGACAAAUGCACAUGAAUUUAAUAUUUAAUGUUGCUGGGGAGAUGCACAUCCAGGGUGUGUCCUCACCUUCGUUGGCCUUUUGACAUCUUCAUUGAAUUUUUAAGAAUUCAAAUUCUGAAAAGCUCCACAAAUUUUUGACUUUUUCUGGCUGACCAAUCUCAUGCUUAUCUAUUAUAUAUUCGGCUAUUGCAAGAAUCGUAUAGCUACCAUGUGAAUUUACGGGACUUGUGCAGGGAUUGAGAGAAAUAAGAGAAUUAUUGCUUAAUGGUCAGAGAAAGCGAUUUAGCAAAAUGGCUUCCUUAGGAAGCAUGCUUCCAAAGAAACUAUUUAUUUUUAUAUUUUAAAAGUAGUUUUAAAAAAUUUAAAUUUUUUUAUUAAUUUUAAAUUAAUAUAUUUUUAGUGUUUUCAAAUUAUUUUGAUGUGCUGAUAUUAAAAUAAUUUUUUAAAAAUAAAAAAAUAUUAUUAACAUUUAUUUUGAUACAAAACAUUAUUUCAAAAGCAAUUUCAACCACACCGCCAAACAAAUUCAUAUUCUAUAACAAGGAGUCGUGUUUGUAUGAUCACCACUCCUCCCCUAAAGCCCCAUGCUUGAAUGCUGUCGAACUCAAACAUGGGUAUGCAUUGAUCAUAGAGAAAUUGAACAAUAUUUAGAGAUAUAAAAAUCUGAAAAGGAAAUAUAAAACCACAACUAUCCAAAUAGAAAAAUUGAUAAAUACAGUUAGUUUAUUUGUUUUUGCGUUUUAAAAAUAUUUUUGAAAAAAUUAAAAAAUUUUAUUUUAAAUUAAUAUUGUUUUGAUGUUAAUUUUUAAAUUAUUUUGAUGCGUUGAUUUCAAAAAUAAUUUUAAAAAAAUAAAAAUAUUUAUUUUAAUAUAUUUCUAAAUAAAAAACACUCGCAAGCACACUCCUAAAUUACCGAUUAAAGUAAAUUGAAAGGCCCAUUCAUACUUGGUGAGCAUGUGAGGAUAUAUACCUUGUGUAACAGAUGGAAUCUCUAUGAUAAUAUAAAUAUAUAUAUGAACUAAGAAUUUCAGAAAAUCUUAAAUCUCUAGUUUGAAGUUUGAUUAAUCUUUGUAACCAACAAAGGAUCAUGCUUUAUUAAUUCUGAGAUCAAACUUUUGGCCGAACCAAUUACUUGACUUGGAUGUUCUAGAAAACUAAUUAAUAUAUGGAAUAGCUCAAUACUAACGUGGUAAAUGCAUUUACCUCCUCACGGGAUGAUCGUUCGACUAAUUAAUUAGAAAAACAAGGGAAUGGCAAUAUGUAAGACUCAUAGUAACGUUAAUCAGCUUUGUCAGUGCUUGAAAGUUGAAACAUUCAGAGUUUCUAACUAGGAAAAAAGCGAGCUGGAAAAGAAAUAAGUGAAAGCGAUGAGAAAGAAGAUGAUAUGUGUAUCUCUGGGUAACUGUGGAGAACUGAGAAUAUCAGCCAUCCAAACUACCGGCCAUUCUCCGAAGAAAACAAAGCCUCUACUGACUGACGACGACAGGUACGGUCGUGAUCAUGGUGCAUGGCCAUAAUGGGCACCCACUCUCCGACCAAGACAGGUACGGUCGUGAUCAUGGUGCAUGGCCAUAAUGGGCACCCACUCUCCGACCAAGACAGGCGUGCUGCUCACUUUGACGCAGCGAUAUUUCAACAUCUUCUCCAUGCAUAACAACACCACACAUAUUUCUCUCUCUAUAUUUCUUGUAAAAUUGUAGUUCUUUUUGCAAGAGAUGGUCGUGAACCGUGCAACAAAACAAACCGGAGAUCACCCAGAAAGAGGAGGGGAAAAAAAGAAGAUAAAAAAAAUCGGGGUGGCGUUUUCAAUCUAGUCAGGGGACAUUGAUUGAAAAUUGUUCAGUACCGAACCUUCAGAAAAUUCAACACCGGCACUCAGUCAAAGUCAUAAGUAUCCAGCAACUAGUAACUCUGGCGUCAUCUAUUGCUUUGGGAAUUUAGGUUGCUAUCAUUAACGAGGCAUUCAACGCUGAGACUUUCGUACUAGCUAGCUUUGUAAAAUCAAACUCAUUUAAAAAUAUCAAAUAAGUGCAACGAGGAAAACUCAUUUGAAAAGUCAAUUGCAAUGAAAUAGAAGAAAUAAGCACUUUAUUUUUCUUUAAGAAGUUUGAUGUCAUUUUUUUCCCUUGUUGUUGCAUUUAAAUGAUUUAUUUUUUUGGUUGGCUCUACUUUGUUGGUUUUAGUUUUCUUGAAAGAUAUAUAGGAAUAGUAUUUUUUUAAAAAAAAAAAGUAUUUUGACAUUUUAUUUAGCACUUUUUGCAUGUAAAAUAAGGGUUGAAGAAUUAAAAUAGUAUUAUUUUUUUACUUUUCAUUCAAUACACCCAUCGGAGUUGGUCUUAUAAUUCACAUACCCUUUCAAUUUGGAUGGAUUGACUUUUGUCUAUCCAUUUUUUUAUAUAAUUUUUUAAUUUAAUUUAAUUUUUUUAAGUCAAACAACUAGAGGGAUGGUAAUAAAUUAUUCAGCUUUUCUCAUCUUUUUCCUUCCUCUUUUCUCAAAUCAUCUUAAAAAGCUAAAUUAAUAAAAUAACAUUUUGAAUAGUAUAAAUAUAGUUUUUUUUGCCAUAUAUACUCCAAUAAAGAAAAGUCAUUUGAAAGCAAAUUGUAAUGGAGUGAAAGAAAUAAGUGCUUUAUUUUUUCUUCAAGGAGUUUGAUGUCAUUUUUUUUCAAUGUAGCUGCAUUUAAAUGAUUUAUUUCUUUUGUUAGCCCUACUUUGUUGGGUUUAAUUUUUAUUUUUUUUAAGAUAUAAAAGAAUAGUAUUUUAAAAAGAGAAAGUGCAUUUUGACAUUUUAUUUAACACUUUUUUUAAAGCAUGUAAAAUAAGGGUUGAAGAAUGAAAAUAAUAUGUUGAAGAAUUAAAAUAAUAUUAUUUAACACUUUUUUUAAAGCAUGUAAAAUAAGGGUUGAAGAAUUAAAAUAAUAUGUUGAAGAAUUAAAAUAAUAUUAUUUUAAUUCUUCAACCCUUAUUUUACAUGCUUUAAAAAAAGUGUUAAAGGGUUGAAGAAUUAAAAUAAUAUUAUAUUUUUAGUUUCCAUUCAAUACACACCUUGGAGCUGGUCUUGUAAUUCUCAUACCUUUCAAUUUAGAUGGAUUGACUUUUGUCUAUCUAUUUGUUUAAUAUAAUUUUUAAAUUGACUUUUCUCACAUCAUCUUUCUUCUUAUCCAUCCUUCCAGAAAAUCAGACCCUUAAUCGUCCAAUUCUUAUUUUGACUUUUUAAUAAAUAAGAAAUCUCUUUUUAAUUAGAUUUCAAUAAAUCAUUGCAAUCCAAACCUGGAAGUUGACCAAAAAAAAAUUGAAUUUAUUAUUCGAACAUGGUCAAAGUCACAGUACUUGCACAAGUAGCAAGCAUGCAUCGCGAUGGGGACAUUGAAUGGGUUUAAACCAUACGUUUUGGAUCUCCAAAUUCCAUGGAACCCAAUUUGGUGCCGACAAAGACUGUACUUUGUUGAGGUUUGAAAUAAGUUUGAUGGUCAAACUCACAUCAGCCAGUGAGUUAAUUGAUCACGUGGUUACCGUUUAGCGAUGGCCAAGUUUUUUAUUAUUGCUUGAGAAUUUGAAGUCUGUCGGAACAUCUUAUCAGUGGACAUAUAAGACCGUGUCUUGUUUGUAACCAUUCGUUUUAUAAAUAAGCUCUUAACAUUUGAACCGGUGAGCAGCUUCAAUUAGCUAGGGUCUCAAAUUAUUUUAAAUUGAAAAAAGAUAUACUGGUAAUGACGUUAGGGUUUGCAGAUAAAAAAAAAAGGAGAAAAUUGAAGUUCAAAAUGUUGACUCAGCUGGAUAUAAUAAACUUGAUUAAUAUAAUAAUAUGAUUCAAAAAAUAAAAACAAAAAAAAAUUUGAACAAAAAAUAAAAUAACAAUGAUUAAUGGUUAAAAGAUGAAUCGAUGUGAAUCUCAUGGUAACGUGAUCAUACAAUCAAGAUUGAUAUAUGAUCCUGAAAAUCCAAAAUAGAUCUGAUAAAAGUGUGGCACGAUGAAAACUUCUUCUAAGAUACCAAUACUAUUGGAAUGAAAUCGAAUAACACCACAAAACUAAAAAAAUAAAAGAAUCUUUCUCACAAGUUAAAUUGAAGACUUCAAAAGUAUUAUUCAUCAAAGGUUGUCAAAACUUAGGCUUAUAACAGUUUAAGUACUUCUGAAAAAUUAACCACGGUGGAUUUACUUUAGGAGAUGAAUUGACUUGUUUGUACAAUUAACCCAGAACAUAUACUAGUAAACCCAAAUCCUAAUCCAAACAAGCCUUUGAUUUUAGUUAAAAGCAAAGUAUUAAUUAAACCUGAAUAAGUCUUGAGCUAUAGCUGAAAUAAUAAAAAUAAAAUUAACUCAUGCUAAUUCCAUAUUUUGCUAUGAGAAGAGAAGAAGAAAAAUCAAACAAUACAGGUCUGAUAUAAGAUUUAUUUAUAAACUACAAUGUUGUCCAAUGAUCCUAGAAACCGAUAUGUCAUUAAAUAUAACAACUCUUCUUUCUUUUCAUAUCUAAUAUGAAUAAGAAAUCCUCAUAAAAAAAAUUUUUAAGAGCAUUAAUGAAUUAUUGUCACACUUAAAAAUUAUAUUGCAAUCUAUUAAAGAUUCUUGUAUAACUAUAAAAUUUUCAAAAUAACCUGUCACAUCUUUGUAGAAAAAAAAUAUUAUCAAAUAAAAAAUCCACAAGUACAAAAAAAAUGAAUAACAAAACUUGUAAAGCUUGUUCUGACCUAUAUCACAAGUCUUUCCCGAACUCCGAUUCACCUGAAUUUUAACUCCAAUAUAGAAAAAUACCUUUGAAAUCUUAUGAUAAAGUUUGAACACGUUAAAAUUUGAAUCUGACCUUACUGAAUUAUAUCAUGAAUGCUCACCAAUAUUAUAGAAACAUAUCAUUCUAAUGUUCAUAAAAGGUCUCCAUGAUAUUUAUCCUAGUUUUUACUAAGCAUAAUAAAUAAAUCUUAAUUAUUUGCUUACUUAAUGAAUAAGGUAAAUGUUUAAUUAAGAGGUUUGGUUUAUAAAUGUUACUAAGAUGCUUAAUUAUUAUAAUUUUAUAUGGUUAAAUGUUAUACCAAACUUAAUAGUUGGUGUACAUGUUUAGUUGAUGGUGGUUAAACUGAAAAUCUGAAAUUCAAAUUUCACCAAUAAUUAUUUUAUUUAACUACCAUUAACGUUAAUAACUAGUCUUUCAAUGAGUGCAUCGCCCUUUAGCUUUUCCCUUUAAUUAAUUUUAAAUAACAUUAAUUAAAGUUUUUUUUUUUUUUUUACUUUUGUUGUUGAUGAGAGAAUGAGAAUAUUUUAAUUUCACAUGCAGACGAUUGAUCCUUCAGGAAGCGAAAAAAAAAAAACCCAACUACUACCUAGAACUGGGCUCAAGCUCAAUCGAGAGUAUUGGGCAAGUCGAGGUGAUGAUUUCUAAUUUAUAUUGGCAAAACCAGUUCAAAUGGGCUGACAAAACUGUGUAAUUGGCCUGUGAACCACUUUUCUCUCUCUGUUUUUUUUUUUUGAAGUUGAUUUUGUCUAAUUUCUCUUAUUUGUAGACAAUUUACCGGACGUCAUAAAAUCUGAAAUUAUAUAUAAAUCCAUUUCAAGUACCCAGGGGGAAAAGGAAGGGUAAAGCACAGAUGUUUCUUGGUAUUUUGUAUUAAAUAAAGUGACGUGGUGGUUUAUUGAUCGGUAUUGCUAAUUAUUUGUUUAUUUAUUGAAAAAUAUAUUUUUUUUAAAAAUAUUUUUUAUGAAUUCUUGAGAAGUAAUUUUUUUUUUUUUAUAUUUGAUAGUAUCAUAAAGUAUGAAUUGAAAAAUAUUUUCCGGUAUUUGACUAUGUUAUUGGAAAGUGAAUUGAAAAAUAACUUUAAAAUUUUUAAAUUUAUUAAAAAAACAGGGAUCAAUUAUAAUAAAUAAGAAAGUUGAAGUAAGAUAAAACUAAUAAAAUUAAUUUCUUAAAUUAUUUCAUAUAAAAUAAAUAGUAAUAAAAAAAUAGAGACAUGGAUAAAUAAUUUCAAUUAAGAAAAAAGAUAAAUAAAUAAAUAAAUAAUAAAUAACAAUUAAAACAAUAAGAGCCGAAGUUGAUAUAAAAAUCAAACUAGAAGGUAUGAAAUUGAAGAAAAAACAAUUUAAAACAAAAUAUAUAGCAAUUAAAAAAUUGAGAAUUAAAUUUGAUAUAAUCAAUAAAUAACAAGAUAUUUUUAAGUUUUUUUAUAACUUCUAAAAAUUGUUUUCUUUCUAAAAUAAAAUAAAAAUACUUUUUUAGAAAUCAAACUAAAUUUUUCUUUGAUUGAAAUUUUUUUUUAUUAAUUAAUUUUUUAAUAAUAAACAAACAUAUAAAAUUUUAAAAAGAAAAAUUUUAAAAAUUAUUUUUCAUAAAAAAGAAGAAGCUUGAAUUGAUCCCCCAAGAAGGAAAUGAAGAAACAAGGCAACGGAUUUUGGAACUUACUACUUUCAUUGAUGCCCAAAAUGAAUCUUUAAAUAACUUCAAUAAGGGCCCAUAUAUUUCUAACCAAAGAGGAAAGAAGCCUAAUGUUUUGGAAAAAUUGUGUAAUUAACACACAAAAUUAGAAUAGAUAAUAAACUAGAAUGAAUUCUAAAAAGGUACAAGUAGGAUGAGGUUUUAUUUAUUUUUUUUGUUUUAAAAGUGUUUUUUUUUAAAUAUAUUUUUUUUUUUGUUUCAAAUUAAUAUUUAUCUGAUAUUUUAUAUCAUUUUAAUAUAUUGAUAUUAAAAAUAAUUUUUAAAAAUAAAAAAAAUAUUAUUUUAGUAAAUCUUUAAAUAAAAAUUACUUUAUAAACAACACAAUCAUAUACUAAAUAGGCUCUGAAUAUCUUCGCAUCAACUUUCUCAUAAUUAAUAAUUUGUUUUAAUGUAUUAAAGUAGCUAUCGUUCUCGUACAAGGCAAGGGCCAGGGUAUGAUUGUGUCUAUGAGCUCAUCAAGCAGAAAAUCCCAUCAGCAGAAUCUAAAUUGUACAAACAAGUGCGAAAGCAUUUACAAAUGCAGGCAAAUCUAAGCAGGUGGCAUUGAUUUUGCUGUCUUAGAGCAUUCACAAGGCUGGAAAAGUUGUACUUGGAAUUACACGUAGGUGCACAAUCUAGGGACAAUGAUUUCAAGAAUUCGACAAGUACAACGCCACGCUGUAUACUGCUUGAUAUUUUAUUUUUAUUUUAAAUUGUUUUAAUGUAUUAAUAUGAAAACUAUUUUUUUCAAUAAAUAGUCACUCGUAUAAAUAAUUAAUAUAAAAAAUUAGUGGUGGGAUCCACGUGGUGAUGAUGUGUUUUGAAAUUUAUUCUUUUAAAUAUUUCUUAAGAAAUACCAUCACUCUAAUUAAUUAUUAUAUAUUGGCUUUAUUGUUUACGAUUUGAUCAUUAAUUGAAUAAGUUUUAGGUUACAUUUAGUAUGAAUUUUUUAAAUUAAUUUCACUUGUUUUUUUUAAAAAAACUUUUAACUAGUAAAAAUUUAUAAAUACAUUUAGUUAAAAAUACUUUUUUUUUAUUUAAAUAGAAAAUCUAUUAUAGAAUGGAGUUAAAAUUCUGGUUUUAUCAAAAGUUAAGAUUUUUAGCUUUUAAUUUAUAUAUUCUAACUUGUAAUGCAUUUAUUCUUCAAAAAAUAAUUUUUACUAAACAUAUACACUAAUAACUUAAAGUUAUUUUAACGUAUUUUAUUCAAUUAUUUAUGAAAAAUAAUUGAAUCAACAUUUAAGAUAAGAAAUCAUUUUUCACAAGUGAGUGAUAUAACAAAUUUAUAUUCAUUUUAACAGGCACAACUAUUAUUGGUGUCUCCUGAAGCUUUCGAGUUGGGUAGAUGGUUCCAAAGCAUAUAAAUAUUCAUCCUAAAUACAAUUGGAUCACUUUCAUAGUAAAAAGGAAAAGAAACAACUGUUGCUGAAGGUAGGCAAUAUUUUUUUUUAAAUAUGGAAUUCUGGCCAGUUUAUGUGCAUCUCAACUAAUUCUUACGGGUUUUAAAGUUUUAUGACUAGAUAAGUCUCUAAUAAUAAUAAUAAUAAAAGUUCAAGUAAAAACAACGUAUUGAACAACAUACUCUUGUAGUCAUGCAGGAAAAAAUAUAUUCACAGGCAAGGGCGGAGGCAAUGCAAAGGCUUGGGUGGGCUUUAGUCUAGGUCAAGAUUUUAUCAUUAUUUUUUAAUUAGUUUUAUGUAAAAAAUUUCAUAAUUAUCGGUUGAGUUAUUAAAAAAUUUUAAAAUUUACACGGAGCCUUCUAAUAUAAUACUUUAGUUUGGUUUAAAAUUUUAGAUUUUUUAGAGAAAUUCAGAAAUUUGAUAAAUAAAAUCACAAUAUGGCUAGUUUUACGUUAUUGGGUGUAAUUUUCAAUUCGACCAUCAAAUUGAGCUGAAAUUUUACUAGGAAUCUUAAAAUAUAUGAAAUAAAAUCUGGUUAAAAUUUUAGAAUAAACAAAGUUUGGUAGUGCUAACAAAAAAAACUGUCAAAUAAAAGCAAACCGACUCAUUAAAGGUAAAAUGGUUAUUUGCUAUUAAAAAAUAAAACAAAUCAAUUCUUCUUUCUUUUUAUACGUUGUCGACUGGGCAGAAGUAGAAUAUUAAAAGAAAGAAAAAAAAAGGCGAGAUAGUAAGGGAAAAACAUAAAAAAAAAAUCCAAGAAAAAAAAUUAAAAAAAUGAAAGAAUAGCCUUGUAAACUUACAAAGUCCAACUUAUAAAAUACUAACCUAAGGAAGAAUCAAGUGAAGAAGAGGAAUUAAGAGAGGGAAAAAAAUUAAUUACUUUGUUUUUUAGUUGAUAUUAGAUUGUUAUUUUAUCCCGGUUAAAGGGUUGUUACAAUAUCGAUUCAGAUUCGAUUAUAGAUAAAUUAUAUUCAAUAAAAUAUCGAAGGAUGUAACUUUAAUAAUAAAUUUAUUUUUUAAUAUUUUAGGUAGUAUAUUUAAAUUAAAACUUUACCAUUAAUUUUAAAAAUUCAUGUAAAUAAGUUAAUAAUUUAUCUUAAAAAAAAUUAUAUAUUUACUUAACAGUUUAGGAUAAAAAAAAUUCCUGACUCGGUUUUUAUUCUCAGGAUCAGUACGGUCUUGUCCUGGGGCACAGCCGUGAGUCAUGAUGUUCAUAUAUGGUUUUUAUCCCCAGGCAUCGCAUAAGGAGAACGCUACUGCAUACAAGAGUACUCUGUAUGGAUAAAGGAAUGCACUGCGAAGUUUUUGGGCCUCAUGAUUCCAUAUAAUCAAGGACAGAAGUAAAAAAAGAGAACCCUUCAAGCAAAUGACAAUUCUUCGAAAAAGAAAGAAAGAAGCAAUGGACAACACAGUAGCAAGGAAACUGUUGAUCUGGUACAUAUUUAUGAAUAAUCUACUGAUAAUGUGCUCUGAGGAUCCUAGUUGAACCACAAUCACAUUCUUAAUAGAGAGUCAUAAAAUCUAUUUCAAAUGUGCACUCUGGAAAUAAUAGUGUUCUUAUUUUCAAUUGUGGUCUCCUAUAAUUAGUAAGGGAUAGAAAAUUGGAUUCAUAUCCUUCAUGGGAUGAGGGCAAUGUUAUCCCUUCCACCAGCUACACAUCUCCGUGAACAUCAUUCUUCUAGAUGCAUCAUUUGAUUUGUUUUUAUUGCCAUGUGAUGAGCCAGAACCUGAGAAGGUAAACACCAGAGGAGAAAAUGUAAUUUUCUCGUAUGGAUUCUGUCACAGAAAGAUCAUAAACUUUGUCAUGGAAUAAAAUAACAAUAGCACGUAUACAAAUCAUUCAUCUCAUACUCACUGUCUAUAAACAAGUCUAGAUUAGUUGAAAGGUCUUUUAAGGACAGCGUUCUGAUCAUCUGUGACUGUUCUGGCAGGAGAAUGUCCGUAUUGAAGAAGUUUUCGAGAAGUUGAAGUGUACCAAAGAGGGUCUCAGUGACGAUGACGUUCAAAAGCGGCUGGGGUGUUUGGAUACAACAAACUCGAAGAGAAAAAGUUCUAGAGAACUGUUUCGGCUCCAGUUUCUUUUCCUUCGAUUGUAGUUGAUCUUGUUGCUAGUUUCCUCCGCAACUUCAUGUUUUCCAGCUUCCUACGUCAAAAUUCAAUCCCAUUAUUUGCUUUACAGGAAAGUGAAAUACUCAAGUUUUUGGGCUUUAUCUGUGGAAUCCAUUGUCAUGGGUUAUGGAAGCAGCAGCAAUUAUGGCCAUCGCACUUGCACACGGAGGGGUAAGUAUCUUAUGUUGAAAUCCCCAUCUUUGACAUGAUUGCACUGCAAGCAAAACAAGAACUAGUGAUUGAUUAUUGUGAGACAAUCAUUGUGCAGGGUAAAGGUACAGAUUACCAUGAUUUUAUCGGCAUUUUGACGCUGCUUAUUAUCAAUUCAACCAUCAGCUUUAUAGAGGAAAAUAAUGCUGGAAAUGCAGCCGCAGCUCUUAUGGCUCGGCUUGCACCAAAAGCAAAGGUUCGGGAUUUAUUUCUGUUUCUUUUCGAUUUCGUUUUUCUUUUUUGUAUCUAACCUAUUCUCCAACUAUUUCAUCAACUUUUCCUUUCCCUUACCUGUUCAUGUAAUAGGUUUUACGUGAUGGGAAGUGGAGAGAGGAAGAGGCCGCAGAAUUGGUCCCAGGAGACAUUGUUAGGAUCAAAUUAGGUGACAUCAUUCCUGCCGAUGCUCGAUUGCUUGAAGGAGAUCCUUUGAAAAUUGAUCAGGUGCCUUACCAUAUAAAGCAUUGUUUUGGAAGUUGUUGCUUGUACACCGUUCUUUGAAUUUGUAGCAUCAUUUAACAAUGAGAUAGACUGUUGGAAACCCCAGGCCCGGGAAACAUAACACGAACUAGAACUAUGGAAGUUGGAGACUAGCACCUGCAUUAAAGAUAGCAGAUAUAGGAAUCGCGGUGGCAGAUGCAACAGAUGCUGCUCGUAUUGCCUCUGAUAUUGUUCUGACAGAACCUGGACUUAGUGUAAUCAUUAGUGCUGUUUUAACCAGCCGUGCCAUAUUUCAAAGAAUGAAGAAUUAUACCGUAUUUCAAAGAAUUAGGGGAUUAUACAUGACUACAAUCCUUAGUACACGUUGCCUAACAUUCGUUUUGUUUCUUCCAGAUACAUGCAGUAUCAAUCACAAUACGUAUUGUGGUAAGUUUCUCGUUCUCUCUUCUUGGUUCCUGGAAUACUAGUUCCUGAGGAGCUCACCAUAUUUGCAAGAUGUAGCUUUCAUAGGUCACUACUCAUUAGCUACUGGAUACUGUUGUAGCAGAUGGGAUUCAUGUUGCUUGCUGUCUUCUGGAAGUUUGAUUUCCCUCCCUUUGUGGUUCUCAUCAUUGCCGUUCUCAAUGACGGUGAGCAUUUUUGCAAAAUAAAUGCAAUUAGCAAUCAUCUUGACAUGCAAAUUCCCAUAUAACUUUAUUUCAACUUAUUUCCAGGAACAAUUUUGACAAUUCCAAAGACAGAGUUAAGCCAUCCCCAAUACCAGACUGUUGGAAGCUAAGUGAAAUUUUUGCAACAGGGAUAGUGAUUGGCAGCUACCUUGCUGUAAUGACAGUCGUGUUCUUCUGGCUUGCUUUUAAAACCGAUUUCUUUGCGGUAAAUGCAUCUAUUGCUAUCAUGUUUCUAUAAGCAUUGUGUUCUUAAUUUUUCAUUGUAGGGUAAAGAGGGAACCUGGUGUUUUCUUUUUGAGUAAAAAUGCAAAGAGCUAUCAGCUCAACUCAUUUGCAUCAUCUGCUUUUUGACAAUAUCUGCAUUUCCGUUUUGUUGUCGCAGAAGCACUUCCAUGUAAGAAGCUUUAACCAACAUUUGGAUCUUUCGGAUAAAGUUCUCUCCAAGGAACUGAAUGGACAGCUGGCAUCAGCCGUGUACCUUCAAGUUAGCAUCAUCAGCCAGGCUCUAAUAUUUGUGACUCGUUCCAGGAGUUGGUCAUACAAGGAAAGGCCUGGUCUUCUUCUUCUUUCUGCUUUCAUCAUUGCUCAGUUGGUAAAUGCUUCGAAACUUGAAAGUUAUUAAACAAUAUUUCAUUGCCUGAAAGAUUUAUUUUUACUUUCUAGUCCGAAGAGACUACAGUUCUAAACUAACUGCUUAACUGGUACAGAUUGCAACUGCGAUCUCUGCCACAGCAACAUGGGAUUUUGCUGGAAUCAGUAAGAUUGGCUGGCGCUGGACUGCUGUCAUAUGGCUAUACAACAUUCUCACAUACAAGCUGCUUGAUCCUAUAAAGUUCGCUGUUCGAUAUGCACAGAGUGAUGAAAUGUACAUUAAUGUAAUUGAAAAAUAAAAAAAAUAAUGCGUGUCUUUCUAGGUUAUUUUAUCGCCAGAGUAAUUUCAACCAUCAUUUUAAUUAAAUAUAUCAAACAAGACUUCAACUAUAAUUUUAAUUGAAUAUAUAUUUUAAUCAAAUCAAACACAAUUAAAAAUAAUUUUUUAUAUAUAUUUUUUUAUAUCACAAUUCUAAAAAUUAUUAUAAUAUCAGCAUUAAUUUCAACCAUCAUUUUAAUUAAAUAUAUUGAACAUGAUUUUAACUAUAAUUUUAAUUGAAUAUAUAUUUUAAUUCAAUCAAACACAAUUAAAAAUAAUUUUUGUAUAUAUAUUUUUUUAUAUCACAAUCCUAAAAUUUAUCAUGAUAUCAAACAGGAAAGAGGCUGAUGGUUGUUGAGGGUAUGCGCCGCGUGAAAGAGAGUGAAGAGGGUGGUGCUGUGAUUUUGGUGGCAUAGAGUGGUACGAGAGAGAUAAGGCGGGAAGUGAUGUUUCUAUUAUGACAUGAUAUAUUAAUAAAUAAAAUUAUAGUGUAAUUAAUAAAAUGCUAUUAGUUAAACCUGAGUAUCAUAAGAAAAAAAAAUUAUAUUCUAAUUCCGGUUACUUGGAGUAGUAAAAGGAGCAGCAUUGAAAAAUUAAAAAAAAGAAAUUAUGUUUGGAUUAUUAUUAUUAUUAUUAUUAUUAUUAUUAUUAUUUAGCAGCAUGAUAUUAUUAUUAUUAUUAUUUUAUUAAUGGGGAUAUCUGAAUCAGCUUAUGUAUACUUCGACUAAUUUUAUAGGUCUUAAAAUUAAAAAUUAUAUAAAUUUUUAAUAACUAUCUUAUUAUUAAUUAUAAAACUUAAACUUGAAACAAAAAGAAACCUCUCUUGAUUCAAAAUUUUUAAUAUUAGUAACGUGCUAGAUAAUUUAUUAUUAUUAUUAUUAUUAUUAUUAUUAUUUGAUAAGGAGUAGCAUGAUUCUUGAUAACGUUCAAAUUCUUGAUACGGUAAGAAAUCACAUGGGCCUCGUAAGGAAGAGAGUACAUACAUGGUUUUAAUUAUAUGCGGGUGUGGUAAUCGGUACACAGCAUCUCUCGUAGUGCAUUGCUGGCCACGUAUUUCCCAAUCACGCGUUCAUGCCUGGAGUAUGUUUCACGCACCAAAAAUUAGGAAAAAAGAAGAGGAUUUUUUAUGAUUUCUUUCACCUCUGUCGGUCCAACAUGACAGCUUAUAUAAUUCAUAAUUGAUUAGUGGGAGUGUUUAUAUAAUUCAGUAAUAUUGAGUUGCAAAGUUACUAUCACUAAAAAAAAUUUACCUAUCUGCAAUUACCUAUGAAAAAAAGAGGAAAAAAAGAAAAUAUGAGAAAAAAAUGGAAAUAAAACGGGAAAAAAGGUUUAGGAAGUGAUUUCUACGCAUAAAUAAAUAUUAUCUGAAACAUCUCACUUUGUAGUUUAACAUUCCUACAAUCUCGACUCUAAUUCUCUUUCACCAUUCAUGUCAAUUUGUUUGAUCUCACCAUUGAAAAAACUAUUCUAAAUUAAAAAAAAUAUAUAUAAAAUGAUUUUGAAUACUUUUGACUCUUAAACAACUUUAAUAACCAUCCAAAGCCACUAUUUUCUUGAUUUUAUUUCACUUUGUUUAAGGACCGACUUAUAUUAAUCUUAUAAUUGAUAUUUGAUAUAUAUGUAUGUGUGUGUAUAGUUAAUUUCUUUCUAGAGAUAAUAAAGGGUAAAUAUAAAUUUUUUAUAAAUAUCACGAUGUUGAAAUAAGAAUAUUUAAAUGACGUUAUUUAAAAAAAAACUGAAAAUCCAUGAAUUGUUGCUCCUAAUUAAAUAUCAUUAGGGUUGCAUGUCUCCAUCUUCAGCCACUUUGACGGUAAAUCACCACAAACAAAUUCAGACAAAUGGUAUCUACAUGUCUUCCUAGAAGGAAUAUGCUUUAACAUCCAUGCCCUCAUGUAAAACAACAUCAUGUCACCCUUCACAUUCCUGAAAGGCGCGUUUGACAAAAAUCUCAUUUUUAAACACACUCCAUCCUCUUCCAUGACUUGCUGGUUUAAUCUCACUUGAUAUCUUCAUUUUACACCACAUGUUGAGCAACAUUUCCACUAUACUUUAAUCUUGGCUUUUUGCACCAUAUAUAGUCUCAAGAGGAGCACACGUUUUUGUCACUUCAUGAAGUUUCCCUGCAGUAUUUUGAUUUGUUUGAAUAUGCUAUUUCUUUGUCAUGAAUCGAACUUGGCCAUGCAAACUAUUGCCGACUCCGAAUGACGAAGAACCCAAUAACAUUUUCUUGUUAAGAUAAUUUUUUUUUUAUAACCCCCCUCCCUCCCUCUCUCUAUAUAUAUAUGAUUGCUUUCGAUUUGUAGGGUUGUGGUUAGUUGGGAUUUGAGUUACAUUUUCAUCAAUGGAGUUGAAGUUUCUUGAUUCCAAAUCAUCAUCUUUAUCUGAGAAAGCAGCCCUCGUGGCAAGGACAAAAUCAAGUCCGUUUUCCAGUUUCGAACAUUCAGUUGGUGUUAAAUUUUCUCAAGAGUUCAGUUCUUGCAGAGGUAAGUGGGACUGGUGAUGAAUCAUUGUAUUAGCACCACAAGUCGCUGCGGUUUUGUUAUAUUCCUUGUUUUUGUCUGUGUUGCUCAAUGUUCUUGGCAUCCAAGCAGGGCAUUUACACAUUUCGAUUUGAAGGGUUUGUUUUUGUUUCUGUAUCAGACAUUUUGAGACACAGUUCAUGCUCUGAGCCAUUCUUUUUUCCUUCUGAAGUUAUAUGUGUUUUGCCGAGGUUGUUCUGCUGUUUGCUAAUUAGUCUUUAAACAGAGACAAAGUGCUAGUAAAUUAUUAUAAACGGACAACCAUGUCUCAUCUCAUUAGGUUAUAGCAUAUACUGAUUUCCUGCUCCUGCUUCCCAGUUUGGCAUAGUUGGUGAUUCGACAUUUCAUUAACAGAGAGACAUUUUUUUUUCGCAUUAAAAGAUGAGCUAAUUAUGAGUGUUUUGCUUCCAUGGCUUCUUAUGUUCAGGAGGAUUUACGAAGGCAUCUUAUUUGAGUUCAAAUGGUACAUUUAUGCCAAAGAGGGCUAUUAGCUCAGUUGACAAAGAAAAAACCGCAGCAGAGAAUUACUUUUAUCAGAUUAGCACAAAUGGUGCUGGUUCAACUCUGUUUUCCAGAAAUGUCGGAGUGCUUGACGCCUGCGAUGAUGAGUACGGGGGAGUUGUGGUUGAUCCGGAUAGAUUACCGGUUAAUCCAGAUGCCUUUGCUCCACUGCUCCAAUUUUCCCUUUCACACUGGAAAAUGAAGGUAAAUUUCUGCCAAUGCUUGAACAACUCCUGUGUGGCUUAAAUUGUUUCUUGGAUAUCCUAUGUUGGUCACCAAAUUGACUUCUACUAUGUCAAUUUACUGCAGGGAAAGAAGGGAAUUUGGCUCAAGCUGCCCCUGGAACGAUCAGAGCUUGUUCCAGUUGCUGUGAAGGUAACCUGUGCUCAAACUUAAACAUUACUGAAUUGUUUCAUUUCAUUGGCUUGAAGCAUCUGCAAUUUAUACCAGUUCAUUAAAUGACUCAAGAAAAUGAUGAAGAAUGUUUGGCUCCUUCAAUCUUUUCACGAGACAUGCAAUCUGAGUGGAUGAGUAAAUUGAUUAACAGGAAGGUUUUGAGUACCACCACGCAGAACGAGGAUACGUGAUGCUGACUUACUGGAUUCCCGAAGGACAUUGUAUGCUUCCUUCUAAUGCUACGCAUCAAGUAGGUGUUGGGGGAUUUGUGAUCAAUGACAAAAAUGAGGUAUGAUUAUUGAGGAAAAGAAAAGUUUCUAAGCUGUCCCAAUGAACUAGUUUUGACAAAUUUAGAUCACCAGUCCUUCAGGACUACAAUGGUCUCAAUUUUUUUUAAAAGAUCUUUGGCAAUCAAUUGCAGGUUCUUGUAGUACAGGAGAAAUUCUAUGCUCCAUCAUUUGCCGAUGUUUGGAAAAUACCGACUGGUUUUAUUCUCGAGGUACGUAAUUUUAUCUUGAACCAAGGAAUCAGCUAUUUAUGAAAAACUUUUAAAUCUCAAUUGCUAUAUAUUGUUUCAGUCAGAAGAGAUUUACACAGGAGCUGUAAGGGAAGUCAAGGAGGAAACUGGUGUAAGAAUGUUCAAUCUCGUACUUGAUUUAUUUACACUAAAAUUUCUUUUCCAGGACCAUUGAUAGUUACCAACUUACAUCAGCAUAAUAAAUUAACAUUGAACGAUCAAGUCGUCCCAAUAAUGUCAGCUGAGUUUUUGUUUAUUUUGCAGGUCGAUACUGAGUUUGUGGAAGUCAUAGCUUUCAGGUGAAGAACUUUUGACUUUGGCUUCACUUGUUUCCUCUCAUAGCAAUACUCAUGCACUGAACAGUUCUGGAAAUGUGCAAUCGAUCCUUUUUUGGCUGUGCAAAGAAAAGAAAUGAAUGGAUGAUUUGUAAUGGAAGCAUCAUAGGUUCAUAUUCAUGUAUAUCUAGCUACAAAGAUGCUAUGGCUGAUGAAAUCUUCUAGAUACACAAGUAUCGGACAGGACACACACACAUGUAUGGCUUUCCCAACACUCUGUCUAAUGUAGCCUUCAACACUGGUUUCAGGCAUGCUCACAAUUUGGAUUUUGACAAGUCAGAUCUGUUCUUUGUAUGUCUGCUGAAACCCUUGUCAGCUCAGAUUAAGGUUGAUGAUCUUGAAAUCCAAGCAGCAAAAGUAAGUACCUCUCCUUACUGAUGUGUGUAAGUUAAUAAUUGUGAAAAUUUUUGGAAACGAAUUCAUCUGUCUGAUCAAAGAUAUAAUUGGAUGCACAGAAGCUAUGGCUUAUUUGUCUCAUGCAUCACCAAUAUUCUGUCUGGCCUGAAGGUGAUUCAUUAUAAUCACAAUGAUCACACAGUGCUAGCUUGUUCUUUUAGCCGGCCAUAUGACCAUUAGACUACUCUCAUAGCUAGCCACUGCCCCCCUGUUAUGUGGGGAUUUCGUGUUUUUUUUAAAAUUAUUAUUAAUGUUUAAAAAAACCAUAUUUUUUAAUUUUAAAUUUAUUAUUCUAUGUUUUUGUGGCUCUUUAUUUAUGAUAUUUUUUUUUGUAAGAUUUUAUUGUAUAGAUAAUAUAUAUAAAAAGCAGCCAUCUCAUUCCAAUAUUUCAAUAAGAUUACAUCUUGGGAUCAACGAAGAGAACUGGAAAUAGAAGCUGAGCCAGUUUCUCCAUGGAUUUACAAUAAUGGAUUUUACUUGCAAAUUCAUUGACACCGACUAUAGUCUCUAAAUCUCCUUAACUUUCUUGUGUUUUCAUCCUGCAGUGGAUGCCCCUUGUUGAGUUUGUUGCGCAGCCACUAAUCCAAGAAGACGGACUGUUCAAGAAAAUCAUUGAUAUUUGCAUUGCUCGUUUAGGGAAACAUUACUGUGGAUUAUUACCUCGUCAAGUAGUUUCCAAAUUUGAUGACAGGCCAUCCUGCCUAUACUACAAUGUUCUUGACACUGGAAAUGUCAACUGCAACGGCAAUUGAACCAUCCAAACACCAUUUCACAAUUCUUAACAUCCCUUGCCUGUCUUCUCCUGGAAAGCCUCUGGCAUUUCCGCUUUGAAGCACGCAACGGUAGCAACUGCAGUGGAAGCAUACGAGGCUCGCAAGUUAAAGAGUAGGGCACUCAUGGAGUCUUACGUUUAUUAUACCUGAUGGGUUGUAACAUAUAGCUUCAAGUAUCUUUGACUGUAAAUAUAUGUUCUUCUGGUAGAACGUUGUUGUUGUAAAUGUGUGAAGUCACCAGUUCUUCUGUUACUAAUGGAUUUUCACUUAUAAUUUCUCUUAGCAAGUAGCUAAUCUGCCUUGUUAUGGCAUUAAAUUUACUAGCUGCGUUUGUACUCGUUGUGAUUUCCCUGCUAAACCAAUGGAGCAUCAUUUUUGUGUCCUAUCUAAAAGGAAGAAAUUAAAAAAAAAAUCCAAAAAAAACUUAAUUAUAUUUUUUUCACUAAGAAAGAAAGAAAGAAGCCCUAUCUCCGCGGUUCAUUUGAACCAGCUCUUCCUGACAAGAAACAAACAGUAGAGAUUAAAUGUGGGUUUGGUGAGAAAUGGACAAAAUAUUAGAAUCCAAAUUGCAGCCACCAUUUCCCACUCCAAGGGGCAAAGUUAGGCAAUGCCAUGAGUGAUGCCUGACAAUGAUAUGCUCGUGCCAAACAAGGCAUGGCCCCAGAGCCAUAAGAGGGCUCACAGUUUUCAUUCUCUAAUCAUUCCAUUUUCUAGCAUGGUUCCUUCCUUUUUAUGCUGUUUUACUCACUCGGUUAUAAUACCGAAAUAAAUUAAUAAAUAAAAACAAAUAAAUUCAACUCUAGUUAAUCUGUUAAAUUCUCGAUUCUAUUCAUGUGAUUAAGAUAACUCAUAAAGAGUAAAUUAAAACAAAUUAUAAAGUUUAAUUUCCAAUCAACCAUACCAGAUUCAUUAUUGAACGAUGAAAUCUAUAAAAAUUGAAAUUAUGAAAAUGACACAAAAAAAUUAGCCAAUUCAACAGGUUAACCCGUUAAACAGUAUUAUCAGGUUAUAAGACUGUAAUAACUUAAUAAAAAAAUCAAAAUAAAUCAUGAAAUCUAAUUCUUAAUCAAACAUAAUAUUAAUUGAUGAAAUUGAAAAAAGAAAUCAAUUACAAAAAGAUCAAGUCGAUUAGGUUAACCUGUUAAACCCGUAACCCGGGUAAUGAGAUAAGAACAACUCAAUAAAAAACAAAUACAGAGUUGAAGGACCCGAGGACCUGGUUAUUAAACCUAGAUAACCUUUUACAAAGAAAAUUAAAAAAAAAACCUGAUUUAACCAAUGUUAAAAUGCCAAAACCCGUGAAUCUGAUCAUGAGACCAAUAUAUCCCCAUAGAAAUUAAAUCAAAAUAGAUUAUGGAGCUCAAUUCCUAACUGAUCCAAUAUUGAAUGAUAAAAUUAAAAAAAAAUACAAAAAACAACCUGGAUCAGUGCAGACUAACCAUUUAAGAACCAUUUAUGAUCAUAAGGUCAGAAUAAUCUAAUAGAAAGCAAAUAAAACAAAUCAUAAAUCAUAAUUCUCUUUCAAUUUAAUAUUAAAGGAUGAAUUAAAAAAAAUUAAUUUAAAAAAAAAACUUAAAUCAACCAAAUUAACCCGUAAUUCUUAUAAUAAAAAUAAAAUAACAGAGUAAAAAACAAAUAUAGUACACAAAUAUAAAAUAAAUAAAAAACAAAAAAUAUUAUGAGAUAUACAAUUAAAAAAAACCCCUUUUUUUGUUAAUAAUUGUUAAUGAUUGAAUUAAUUAAUGCCGUGAAGUCAAUAAUGACAAACAUGUUUGGCAUGUAGCUAGAAGAAUUUUGAGAUCAAUUUAAGUGGCGGUAUUGAAUUGUUGGUUUGGAAGGUAGAAAGACAAGACCUAUUUUUAACUUUUUUUACCUGUCCUUGGGUCUGUCGUUUGGGUCCCUGUGAAACUGAUCAGGCAUCCCUUUUGGCCUGUGUGAUCAUAUACAGAGUUAAGGAAUGUUUUUGGUUUUUUUUAAAUGAAGGUAGGAGACACUGCUAAUCAUAAUUAAUUAAUCAAUUAAAUAAUAAUAAUAAUAAUAGUUAACUAACUAUAAUUAAAUAGAAGCUCUAAUCAUUCAGGCCAACUCCUUUUCUUUCCUCCCUGGAAAAACAAGAACAGCGGAAAGCGAUUCAACCCCCUCCCUCCCACUUUCCGAUCCGAGAGACUCAUUUCCCAAAAUAAUAAUCUCUCGUAAGCUCUCUGUUUCUGCCUGCCUGCGCUUUUAAAUAUAUAUGAACACUGCCGUCUCUUUCUUUCUUCCCCUCCUUCUGUUACAAUUGAAUUCUUUUCUAAUAGUUUUUUUGUAGUUUCAAUUUUUGCUAGGGUUUGGUCGCUUCUAUUACUUGCACAUAACUCUCUCUUUAUAUCCUCUGUUUGGUUGGUUGCCGAGAAAAUGCAAGAAAGAGUUAAAAACUAAGCACUCCAAAUUUUCACAGCAACCAAACAGCUUGAUUAACCUUUUUUUCUCUCGCUUCAAUUUCUUGUAAUAUUUGUGUUAUUCUGUUUUUUUAGGACUCUGUUGAAUUGCUUUAGAGGAUGGUGAGUUUGUGAUAGAGAAAAUCUGGACUGUAAAUUGAAGAAUCGUGGAUUGCAAACAAUGCGGUUGUUUCCUUUGAGUUCAAGCUCAAGCUCAAGCUCGGAGAAGGAGCAGAGUAAUGGAGGGAGCAGUCGCGUGAAUUUGUAUCUUAACAUCUAUGAUCUUACACCUAUAAAUAACUACCUUUAUUGGUUUGGCCUCGGGAUCUUCCAUUCCGGUAUUGAAGGUAAUUAAUUGAAUGUUAAUAGAUGAUAGACUUUUUUUUUUUCUUUCUUGCUGCUUAAUCUGCAUGAUUUUGGCAUUUCUAGUUGAAUUUUGCUUGGUGCGAGUAUUCUAGGUUGUGGACUUUUGGCUUGAUAGUUGUGCAUUAAUAGAAACUCCAAAUGAUAAUCAUUGUUCAACCUGCGUGGAUUAUGUUAGGGUAAAAAUUCUAUUUCUGGAGACUUUUUAAGGUAGACUGAAGUUCAUGAUGAGGGAAUCACGAGUCAGAAGAGUUUGGCAUUUUUAAAGGAUUAAGACUAGAAGGUUUGCGUUUGCAAUAGGGCAGAUCACCGAAGAAUGAAGUAUUCCUGCACAUAAGAGUCAUUGAUAUCUCGAGACAUGAACAAAUGCAUCACUAUGAUGCAUUGUCGCAUUUAUCACCAUCAAACCUUUUUUUCCCCCGACCAAUAUGAAUUGGAUAUGGAUCAUAGAGAUGCAAUAUGCAGUAACACAGUGGCUAAGAUGGCAUCUACUUCUCAAAGUAAUCAACGGAAUCUCUUGUUUAUUUAAUUCAAAAGAGUCAUUGCUUAACAAUAAUGUAAAGUAUCUAUCUUUACAGAUGCAGAUUGAAUAAUUCCCGUAUCAUUGGUAGGAUAAAUUCAGUAUCCAAAAUUUCUUAUAAUCACCCUGCACAUGUGACACAACUCAUUUCUUCACUAAAUUAAAUCUAGAAGGAGCAAGGAGCAGAUUUAUGCUAGUUUAUUUCCUUCCACGGUCCACAAGUUCACAAACUGUUAGUGGUAGUUCCAAAUUGGCAGAAACUAUGAGCAGGAAGGAUGAACUACUCUUUCUGGACUUGAUGCUGAUACCAUGUAUAUGUGGAAAUAAGCUAACUUUUAGAAACAAGAUUAUUAAGAAGAUUGUGCUAAGCAACAUUUCCCACUGUAAGGGAAUUAUGAUGGUGCCACUCAUGAGACAUCCUUAAGUUUUUAUUUGAAAACUAGUUUUCCCACAAUAACUGUAAGGAGGGAGGGGGGAGGCAAAUGCACCAGAAGGAAGGAAGGAAGAUGGAGAUGAUAAGAAGCAGAAUUUUAUGAUACGCUGGCCCACUCGGAAGCUUUUCCAAGGCCCAAGAGCUGUUCUCACAAACAGAAAAAUAAACACAGCUUCCUUUCUCACAGAAGAUUGAUUUCACUCCCAGAGGACUAUAGAAACACACAAGCACCUUAAAUAAUUGCCUUGGAAAAUCCAUAUUGUGCGAGACAGUGAAACCAUAGUGCAUCGUGGAUUGUGCAUGAGAAAGAAAAUGCUGAUUGUGAAAGAUUUCCCUUGCUUAGAUAAUUUUCCUUCAACUUUUAAAUGUAAUGUAGAAAAGAAAGUUUGAUUCAUCUAUAUUAGAUCUUGUAAAAUUUAGAAAAAUGUUAUCCAAAUGCUCAAAUCUCUUGUAGCAAAUAAUUUUCUUAACAUUUAUAUUUUCAUGAACUCUGAUGAGAUUAUUGCAGCUUUGAAGAAAAUGGUUGUUGCAUUAAGUUGCAAGGAAACCAACUUGUGAUGUGCUUCAUAAUUUCAUUAUGCAUAAGCAACUCCCCUGUAUUUACGCAUCCCCCUGCCACUAUUUAUAUUUGAACUAAAAAUGUUUGCCCACUCAUUUUUCUCCGUUACUCUUUUUUAUCCCGUAAAGUUAAUUGGUGUGUUAAAUACAAAAGCUAGAAACAUUGGUGAUGUGAUUUCAUGAAGAAGGUAACCACUGCUGCCAAAAGAAAUAAUUGAACCCAGAAUCAUGAAAUUCAGUCCAUCAUGGGCUGUUCAUUUAAAUGCAAAAAUGAAAAUAAUGGAGCAAACUCAUGGGGCAAAUUGCUUGCCAAAAUCAAAGGUGCAUAGGUGGUUUUAUAUAGCCUUCCCUUGUAAAAAGAUUUAUCUCUAACCAAUUCAGAAAGAAAGUGGUAUUUUUUCUUUGAGCAACAAUUCUAUAAAAUUUUAUAUCAUCAAAAUUAGCAUCAAUUUCAAAUAUUUGUGGUUAAUAUUGGAGGUCACCAUUUCACUGAAAUGGGAUUCUUAUUUCUAUUGUGAAAGCAGGCUGACGUAACAAAAGCAGACAUAUGGUUAGAAAAAAGCCAAAACACUAUUCAUUCUACACCACCUUUAACUGAACAUUAAACAUUUAAAACAAAGUUUGUAGCUUAGGAUGUUCAGAUCUAGUGCAUUUCAUCUCCUAUCAGGAACAAACUUAUCUCACAGCAGCUGUUAAAUGUGGACUGCUUGGAUUAUGAAUUGCAAUAUCAGUAACUCGAUGCUCUUUUACUUAUUUGAUCGUCUAAGGAUUUUUUAGGAGAACUAUAAGUGCCUGAGGAGAAGUUGGUACUUUAUUUACCUGAAAGAAACCCUUGAAAAUGGUAAUACAUGAGACAUCUUGAGGAAGGCUUAGCAGAAGCUACUUAAAGGUGGCUUGAAAUUAUGCUUUAUGGUCUGAAUUUCUCCAUGUAUUAGGAUGAUUUACCUAACAUAGUGCUGCUGGAGAUAAGAUAAAACAUUUGCAAUAUUGAAACAUAUUUCUUAUCUGGUAUGUUUGCCUUUUUGUGGGUGAGUUUUAACAUCAUUUCGAAUUCACAUGAUAGAGGAUCGCUGACUGGAUUGGAUAGAAGCUAACUAUAUGUGAGAUUAGUGAAGCUUUAGCUGUACAUUGCAUGUAUGGACCCAAUUCUCCUCUUGUCAAACUCGUUCCCAACAGCCUUCUUUCUUCUGCAUUCCCUUUUGUAUUCAUGCUGUAUUCUUAAAACAAAUUACGAACUAAGUUUGAAGGUCAAGGGAACUUGGUGUUCCAAUUUGGAGGGUUCAUAGUACAGCAGUAUCAAUGGAUUGUUAUUAGGAGUAAUCAGAUUGUUAGAACCUAGAGAUGUAAUCAUAUCACUUGAGUAAAAUGUGCUUGUAAAAGGUUUUGUGCUAUGCUGUGGUCUUUAUUUUCUAUGGGCUAUCUAGAAUAUCAAAUGAUCUAUUUCUUCUUGUGUGGAAUUAACAUUGUUUUUAUUAACAUAGUACACUUGAGAUGUAAACGACACAUUAACAUGAGAAUUGAAAAAGGGAUAAGAAAUUGAGAAUCAUAUUUUGAGUUGUCCAGAGAAAUAGCUGGAAUUCUCCCAUUGUAAGAUGCCUCAACCAUUCAAUGACAAGUAACUCCUGAUUGAAGCUUUUCCAGCUGGAGUUAAAAGGAAAUUACUCCUGGAAUUAGGAUAGUUUCCUCUAGAUGUUCAUUAGUGAGAUCCUAAGAUAUGAAUUUCUUUUUGCAAGAUAUUGGAAACUCGCCUUUUCCUUGAAUGACUUAUUUAGGAUGUGAUAAUUCAAGGUUACUAUCGUCAACAUCAUUGGUGUUGUGCUGUGCUUAGUUACUAACUUGGUGCAGGAUUGGGACAGAUUGCCUAAUAGCUGACAUCAGUUACGUAGGGAACCAAGUGAUUACCAGGCAGGGCUAUGUGAAAACCACUCAAGCUCUGUUAACUUAGAAUUAUCAUGAUUGCAAGAUCCCUCAAGUUUGAGUUUGCUACUUCAUCUACAAGCAUGAUAAUGUCCUUAUAAUGCGCUGUUAUGGUUGCUUUUAAGGCAGUGCCAUCAGAUCUCAGCUUAUCACAUCUCAUCAUAUUUGAUUAGCGUGGUUAUUUUUUCCAGAUGCAAGCUGCAAGACACCUUUAAACCUUAUAGGUGUCUUGUGCUUGCUUCUCUUGUGUUUCUUACAUUAUCAGCAUUAGGCAGAUAUCUAAUCUGGACUAUCGACUGUGGCUAUUUGUAGCUAGUUAUAUGCAAGUCGUCAGACAGGAAAGAUCACUAUCAUUUUUUGUUAUUGAGGAAAAAGAUAUUUUAGGAAGUCUAGGUACAAACAGCUGUGCUCUCAAACCCCUAAAACAACAACAAAUUGUUUUAAUUUGUAUCUGGCUAAAAAUAACUAUAACAGCUGUGGUGAUUGAUAAUCCAUAAUAGCACUUCAAAUUGACCUGAAUUUUAGUUUAUACUAAAUCCAUGUUCUCUAACCAUCACAAUGUUCCAAUUUCAAUGAUUGUUUUACUCUAAAAUCAGGUCUGUGUGAAUAAUAAAUCAACCUGUCAUUUUCUUCAGCGUCUCUAUCUUGGAAAUUUAUGUGCAUUAACCUGUUGCAACUGAUCUUUUAAUCAGUGCAUGGUAUGGAGUAUGGCUUCGGAGCCCAUGAGUACCCAACCAGUGGGGUGUUUGAGGUGGAGCCAAGAAGUUGUCCAGGCUUCAUUUUUCGACGGUCUGUGUUAUUGGGCAGCACCAACAUGUCUCGUUCAGAAUUCCGGUCAUUCAUGGAACGUCUUUCUGCAGAAUAUCAUGGAGACACCUACCAUUUGAUUGCCAAGAAUUGCAACCACUUUACUGAUGAAGUCUGUAAGAGAUUAACUGGAAAGCCUAUUCCUGGAUGGAUAAAUCGAAUGGCUCGAUUAGGUUAGUCGCAUAUCAUGUUAUAUGAGAAGCUACUUUCUAUUUCACUGGAGAUUUUCUAGGCCUAGUACUCUGCACACAAAAGUGAUAACUUAUUUUCAAAAAAAAAAAAAAAAAGAUGAAAAAAGUGUGCAAUUUUAAAUGCGACUCUUUGUUGGAAUAUCUGUCAGACCUGGAUCCAGAAUUUGUGGCCAAUGUUUGUGCGUUAUCAAUAACUGUGAAUAACCAGCAUUGCUUUGUAUUUUUGUAAAUAAUAUGAGUUAUAUGGUGGUUUCCAAUGUCGGCAGCAGCCUUGCUGCUAAGUUUCUCAGCUCUGUGUUUUUGGAUUUUGUGGUCCAGUUCUAAUAUUUCCCUGUCUGAUCGAGGAGCUUUUAUUUGAUGUUUCAGGUUCUUUCUGUAAUUGCUUACUGCCAGAAAGCAUACAGAUCACAGCAGUUAGACAUCUUCCUGAUCAUCCAACGUAUUCUGGUAAUUUUCUUCUAUUAAUCAUGUUUCUUCCCUUUGUUAGUUCAAGAUCUGCACGAGAAUUUAUCUUACUGGGUGUCCAAGUUGAUGAAGGCAUUAUUUAAAGUUGUAUUCCUCAACAAAGCGAAUUGACUGUGUAUUCUUGAUCACUUCUUUUUCUGGUAGAACUGGGAUCAAAACCCAAGAAAAAACCUAACAGUUAGAUGUGACAUAGAGGUAGAGCCACCCCAGUAACAUCCUGGUAAAAUAAAUCAGAAAGACCCCAGGAGCAUUUCUUUGCUGAUAAUGGAUCAUAAUAAGAAUGGGCACCAUGCUUGAACAAAGAAAAUAGGUGGUUUAACUGCCAGCAGGCUGCAGAUUGCUCUAGCCAUCUCACUAGUUGUGACUUUUUUUCUUAACUGAUGAAUCAUGGAUAUUAGGAAUUUUACCGUGCAUGGCUCUCUUAAUUAUUCUACCUGAAGAGGCGGCCUUUAAUGUAUAGAACAGCGUGUAUAUAGGUAUUAGGUUGGGAAUCCAUUUUCAUUCAAUUGAUGGAGCUCUAAGAUUUCCCAUCAAUGAAUGCUCUGAUUGUUAAGAAGGGGUAUUGCUCUUCUACGUCGGUGUGUGCUGCAUGCAGAGUCCAGAGGGGACGUCUGCAUGUGGUUGUUUGGUGCUUUGAUGGAUACAUGUUUUCUUACCUUGGUCCCAAUGCGAAUGCAGAUGAUGAUGAUGAUGGGUUGGAAUCUGUUGCGUCAUCCACGACAGCAGGGAGUGAAGAAGAGGGUUCAAAUCAUCAUCUGCUCACUGCACCAAAUGGUGAAGUUGCAUUUUUAAAGGAGAAACCAGUGAGGCUAGCAAAGGAACUCCUACAGGGUUUGUCCUGAAAUUCCUAUUCUUUCUAUCUUGGAUCUUUCUAUUGUUUGUACUUUAGUGUAUGAUCUUGGUAGACCGGAGAAUGUGUCUUGGCUGAAUUAUCUGAGUACUUUAGUGUAUGAUCUUGGUAGACCGGAGAAUGUGUCUUGGCUAAAUUAUCUGAGUACUUUAGUGUAUGAUCUUGGUAGACCGGAGAAUGUGUCUUGGCUGAAUUAUCUGAGUACUUUAGUGUAUGUGUCCUGGCAUGUGGCGAUCUUGCUUCAGACUUCUCUAGUGCCUGUGAUUAUUCUAAAGGUAUGGCUAUUCCUCAGCAUCUUGUACCAAUACAACUUAUGCACUAUCAUAGUAUACAACCCCCAAUGGGCUGCUGAUAUAUGAUUUCAGUUUCCAAAGAAGCUCGCAUUGGUUGUUCAUAAAUUGUGACUGUUGGAUUCCCCAAUGGUUUUUUUAUUUUUGCUCUGGCAAGUUUUAAGUUGGAACUGACAUGAAAUAUGAUGCAAGUGAAAAUGUCAUGUUCGGCUGAUAUAAUAGAAUGUAAAUCUAACGAGAGAUUCGAUGAACCAUUCUAUUACUUUGUAUUUCGAAAUUUAUUUGUUUUUUUUAUUUUUAUUAUUAUUAUUAUCAGAAUUGUUUAGUUUAUACUAGUUCACAUGCUAACUCAACAUUGCGGGUCCAAGUUUUAAAAAACAUAACACAAAUUAUUUAUUCAAUAGACAACUAUUUCAUAUUUUUAUUAAACCUAGCUUAAUGGGUUAAUAUUGAGAUCAUUCAAUCUAACUUUUGUUUAGUUCGAGUUUAAAAUUCAAUUGUAAGGAAAUUAAUUCGAUAUUAUUCAAUUAACUUGGCUAGUUCAGAAAUAACUUAAUUGAUCAAUAAAAAAAAAUAUAAAGAUGAAAUUAAGAAAAAAUAAUGAAAUAAACAGAAAAAAUCUGUUGAUGAACUUUUUGCCAAGCUUUAUUUAUAAUUAAACUAAGUUUUUUUUAUAUGACUUGGUUAAUUUGAUCAAUUAAAAAAUAACUUGGUUGGUUGGUAAAAAAAAUUAUGACUAUAAGAUUGAGAAUACAAAUAAUAAAAUUGAAAGAAUUUUUUUUUUCAAUGUAAUAUUUUAUCUAGUUUAAGUUUAAAAUUAAAUUAAUUGAGAAUUUUCUUGUUAUGAUUUAGUUGAUUAUGUUGGUUUAAAGUUAUACUAUAUCAUUGUCUAUAGUAUAAUACGGGUCAAAUUAAUUAUUUUUUAAUAUAAAAAAUAUUUAAAUAUUAUUAUUGUGUUUUUAUAAUAGAAUUUUUUGAUCUAUAUAAAAAUUAAUGUAAUAUAAUCUAAUCAAGUUUGCAUAACAUGAAUUUCAUGUCAGUGAAGAGAGCUCCACACCGAAACCAUUAUUUAGUCAAUUAUUUAAAGAACCAUCCCUGCCGUAAUUUAAAUAAAUGGAAGUUUUAUUUCAGUUUCUCAACACCCACCAGGGAAUCUGGACUAGUGAUCUGUCUUUACUUGCCAAGAGCAUGCCCGAGUCAUGUACGGUCCAAUUGUCAACUCUCCUUGCAAGGGACAGCAAAUUGCCGGCUUAUAAUAAUAGAGGACGAGAAUAUCCAUUUAAGUGAGAAAGAAGGUAAAACUUAUGGUGGAGAUGAUGUUUUUCGUUUUGUGCUUUAUAAUUUCUUUAUGAAUCCUAAUUAGUUUUAAUUAGAUUAAAUGUGCUUUUCAUAAAAAAAUGUUCUUUUUAAAAUUAAAAAUAAAUUAAUGGAUAAAUAAAAUUAAGCUUUGCCUAAAGAAAUGCAUUUUUUCCCUUACUUAAUUUAAAUUAUUUGAGUUUUGACAUGUAUUUAUUUUAAUUGAUAUAAGUUCUUAUUAAUAAAAAUCAUAGAUCCAUGAAAAUAAAAAUCAUUAAUAAUCAAAAGAAAUAUUAACAAGAAAAAAAUAUUUUUUUAAAAAAAUUUAGAUCAUUGGAGUUUUUAUGAUCAUUUAUUUAUUUAUCGCAAAAAAAUCAAAGAAUCUAUUCAUCUUAAAUUUUAAAUAGAUGAGUUUUAGCCACUAAAUUAGCUUCCAUGAUAAAUGAGAGAAAGCGAGUCAACCGAGAAGGACAACUGAGGUAAAGUUUUUGCAUGUGCUUAGAUCUUCUGUUUUUUACUGGGAAAAAUUUUCUUCGUUAAUCAGUGUUAAUAAUUUUUUUUAUAAUUAAAAGCAUUAUUUUUCAAAUAAGAUUUAAGUUUUUUUAUGGUGAUAUUAUUAAUUAAUCUAUAAAAAAAAUUAUAUAAAUUCUCAUUAUCACAUGAUAAAAUAAAUUCUCAAAUAUUUUUUCCUAUAAUUUAGAUAAUUGAAAUAAUUUAAAAAAUAAUUUCUCGUUAUUAUAAAAUUAAAUAAAAAUAAAUUUUAAAAAUCAUCCUACAACAAAAGCACAAAGCAUAUAACUAGUUAUAACUAAUACACAUAACUUGAGCAAUAUAAUUUUUUUAACCUCUAAGCUAUAACUAAUGCUCCUUUUCCAUUAAACCAAUGUCUCAGUAAUCGAACUCAUUUACCUUUUGGUAUGAAAUUGCUUAUUUUUUUAAUUAUUUAUCAAAGACUAGAUUAGCGACUUUUUUCUUUUUUUAAAAAAAAAUUAGACACUAAUAGUGUAUUUUCUGGAAGUGAGAAAAAUCCAACAUUUGAAUCAUAGAAGAUUUAAUAAGUUUAUUUCAUUUAAUUAUAUGAUAAUAAAAAUUAAUUAACUGAAUUAAACAAAAAAAAUAAUACACAAAAAUAAUGUUUGCCAAUAAAAAGAUUUCCAUAAUCUUAUUUGAUAAAAAAUAACAAUUAAAUUAAAUAAUAUCCAAAAUAUAUUUUUAAUUAAUCUAAGAAUAUAAAAAUAUAUUAAUCAAUAAAAUAUUAAAGGAUGAAACUAAAAAAUAUAUAUUCAAUUUUAUAAAAAGAACCUAUAAAAAAUGACCAGAUUAAAUUAACUCAGGUUAACAUGUCAAACACACGACUUCGAUCAUAUGAAUGAGAUAUCCCAUUGGAAUUAAAUAAAAAAAAUUAUGAAGCUUAAUUCAAAGCCAACCCAAUAUUAAAGAAUAAAAUUAAAAGAAAAAAAUAAUUUAAAAGGAUUACAAAAUUACUUAAGUUAACUUGGGUUACUUGUCAAAUCCGCAACCUGAUUUUUAAAACUGAGAUAACACUAUAAAAAGUAAAUUAAAAAAAAUAUAUAAAUAAACUUGGGUGAACCUGCUAAAAUUAUAAUCUGGAUCAUGAGAGCUGGAUAACUCUAUAAAAAUAAUAAAAAAAUAUAUGAAACUAAAAACAUUACUAAAAAAAAAAAAAUAAUAACCGAAUUAAAUAUAAAAAAAUUAAAAGCCACCUGAGAGAGUCAGGCAUGGAAACCAAUAAGAAAAAGAAAAAAGAAAAAAAACAAUGACCUAUUGAAGCUCAUCAACCACCAUGCCCCGCCUCAUAAAAAAGCAACCACUGAGACGAUUCAAAUGAUACCAAUAAAUACCCUCUUCGUAUCUCAGAGGAAGGCACAUGUGCCACCACAGCACAAUGGCUUUCCCACAUGUUUGCACGUGUGUUAUUCAUGACAAACUAGUUUUUCCUUUUAGGGCCUGGUGUGAAUAAGAAAGUGGUUGAAAAUUUGUUUAUGUUUCAAUUUGAUCCUAAAAGUCUAGAUUAUUUUGAAUCAACAAAAUUAAAUAUGAUUUUAUCAAACUGAUCUUCAAUAUUCUCGAUAUUUUAAAUAAAUAGAAUCAAAUUAAAAAAAAAUCAAAUAAUAAAAAAAAACCAAAAUAACAAAAAAGAAAAACUCCAAUGCAAUAUUACAAUUCACGGUGCAUUGUAAGUGAGGUUAUAGUUUUAACUAUGAGAUAUUUUAUUCAUUUAUUUUAAUUAAUUAAUAAUGUUCAGAAUCUUACGAAGAAGUCGAAUAUUACGUAAAUUUUAACAAAAUACACUGUUCAGAAUCUUCCAAAUUGGGAGAAAGAAAAAUUUGUGAAGAGCAUGCGCCCAAAGGUCAAAAUCACGUAAAUGUUAGCGAAAUAGAAUGAAAAGUCAUCUUCUUCGGAAAGACCUACGAGUGAAGUCUUCGAGAGGAUAGAAGAGAGACAAGUGGAAGGCAGCAGAAAGUGAUUUGCAGUAAAUGAUUUUGAAAUUCUGCAUUCAUCACCAUCAAGACUCCGUAAAAGAGAGGCCACUGCCUCGAUUUUAGAUCACCAAACGCUGGAGCUACUAUCUUGUUUCCACGCCCAGAUUUAUUAGUUGGGUCCCAAGCAACCUCGUCAACUCCCCUUGCAGCCCGUUGCUUGCUUGGGGCCGGCUACAGCUUCCAUGACUAAGACCUCGCAGUGCGCAGUCUCACUCUAAAUUAAAAUAUUCUGCAUGUCUUCCAUUCAUUUAGGGUGUCCUACACUUUCUUAUUUUCUUCUUAAUUAACCUUUCCAUAACCUCAGAAGAGUUCUUUGGUAGGCAGGAAAGUACUCUAGAAAAGUGCUGCGUGCGUGGGCAAAUUAAAAGUAAGUUGUUUCCAGGUAGUUUUCCCAACACUUACGAGUUGGAAACAAACUUUAUAAUACUUUCUUUCCAUCUUGUAUAGCUUCCAUUGCGAGAAUUUACCAGGAAACAAGUUAUUUGGAAGGCAAUUAACUUAUAGUGAGGAGUGCAUAUUUUCUUGAUAGGUUAACAUUUCAAUCAGACAAGGUUGAUGUGCGAGAUCUUUCUAUGUGACUUGUAGAGGGGAGAAAUCAGAACCAGCCGAACUGUUGUGUCUUUGUUAUUACAAACAAUGGAUGCUUUUAUGUUCUUUACUCUCUUCUCCUCCAUGUUUCUAACCAUAAAUGCUUUUGAAUCCAAAUGUCCAAUGGUUAAGUGCAGUCACGGCGGUCCUGAUAUCCGUUUCCCAUUCCGAGCUUUAGGCCGACAACCCCAGCACUGUGGUAAUCCUGGUUUUGAACUUGUUUGCAGAGAUAACACCACCAUGAUUCAUUUCCCAACUUAUGGACCCUUGGUUGUGAAAUCCAUCUCAUAUGAUAUCAGAAAACUCAGUCUUCUUGACCCCAAAAGCUGUGUCCAUGAAGUCUUUCUUAAUCUUAACCUCUCCGGUACACCUUUCCAGUAUUACUAUCUUUUGAAGAACUUUAUAUACCUCAACUGCUCAACCAGGCUUUCGACUUCUUUCGAUGAGGUUUCAUGCUUGAGUGGUUCCAGCCAUCAUGUUUACACAGUCGAAUCUUCGUUGCCCAUUCCAGUUUCUUGCAGACCAUUGAAAGCUAUUCCCAUUCCAUUUUCAUACAGUCCUUAUCUUGCUGAUAACAGUUUUGGCCUUGGAUUAACUUGGAGUUUGCCUGGGCGCAAAGAUGUUGAAGAACAAGUAGGCUCAUGUGUGUUCCAGUCCAAAGCAGGACCUCAAUCAGGCUGUCCCAACAUAACACUGGAUAAAGGUAAAGUCAUAAUCUUCUGUUAGCCCUCGGAUCACUGUUAGCUACUAGUCAUUGUCGAAUGGUGCUGCUAAGAGGUUACUAAUCUGAUGCCUGGAACAAGUUAUCAAAUUGACAAUGACUUUGAAUUGUAAACAAGACUAGGAAAAGUCUUCUGGGUAUUUCAUGAAGUUUCCUUCUGGGUACCAGAGAGAGCACUCAUUUUCUAAAAUAUCAUAGCGGUGGUCCACCUUUCCCGUACUUGGGAAUUUUUAACAAGUAUCCACACACAUUUUUCACAAUUAUGCGCGUACUUAUUUCUUUUUCAUUAUUGAGAAUUAAAAUCCUUAGGUUUGUUGUUGUUCACUUAGGUCCUCUGCUGCCCUAUUCAGAAGCAACUUAUAUACAUAAUUUGAUAUGGAGGUCAGUUUAACAUUCAGAUCUUAAUUACUUUUGCAGGUUUUUCAAUUGUGCAUGUAUUGUCAGGUGAAGCUGUGUCUAUGAUCUUGAACAUUCUGCUAUGUAUUUUUGCGGUGACAACAAUGAUGAUAAGCAUAAAAAUCUGUAACUCAAAGAAGGUUGAUGAACAGACAGAAAAUGAGAAUCUACUGUAGGAAGUAUCCAACUGAAUGAUUUGCUCCCCUACAUACUCGAGACAACUUCUAAAGAUUGAGAUUUUAGAAGGAUAUUAUUAACAGUGGUGGAGCUCUGUUGUUAUGUCUUCUAGUAGAACAGGCUUGCCAUGAUAUGCUUGUAAAAUGAAAACACAAGUCAUCACAGGGCAAGCAGAUUCUGUACUAUCAAGUCCUGAAAUCUUGUUAGAAAUAGUCUACAGUGGAAUAUUGUAGUGGAAACCAGAAGGAAUAGACUAGGAUAUAUUUUUUUCUCUUAAAAUAUGAUGCAUAAGAAUUCUAUUUUUUUUUCACUUGCAUUAGUUGUUUCGUUUUGUAAGAUUUAUGAUUUGGAAAAGAUAAAUUAUUAUGAAAUCCAAUUCACAAAGUCCUUUCAAAAUAGCCACCAGAAUCUCUCUUAUUUCCCUUAUCACAUCAAGAUUAUCAUUUUUGUUUUACAGGCUUCUCUGUUGAAGUUGACAUGGAAAUUCCACUUCUAUGAUCACAGUGAAUAGGCUCUUAAAACUUGCUUACUUACGAUAACAAUUGAGAUAUUCUUCUCCUUGAUCUGUAACCAUUUUUCCAUGAUGAAGGAAUGAAAGCAGGAAAAAGAAAAACCUGAUGGAACUGGAAUCCCUCCCUUGCCGGCUCAUAAUCCAAGAUUGUAACUGUAUACAAUAAAUUGUCUUAAAUCAGACGAGUAUUUUGGCCAGUGAGAGCUAGAAGGAUUAUAUAUUUUGCAUCAAAUCUAAAGCAGACUGUCAGCUGCAGGCUUCCAUUUCAUUACCAAAGCAUCACUGAAGCACUGCUUCAUUAUAUCUGUUGUUUCAGUAUUGAUGUAUGUUAUAUAAUGCUCACGUUGUUGCUCGAUUGCUUCUAUUUCUUUUCGUAGUUACUCGAUCUCUUAAGAAAUCCUUCUUGUUAUAUAAAAUUACCUGAGCUUGUUCCUCUGCAAACUUUACGGCUUCAAGACCAAACUCGCUUUAAAUGAUCUUUCAUGAACUGAAUUUUGAAGCCACCGACAAGUUCCACUAAUUUUAUGCACUUCCACCAUGUCUGACAAACAAGUCUCUGAUCAUAGGGAUAAACAAUCAAGGGAUCAUGGAAUCCCCUAUGACAAGGUUCAAAAUCCUCAAAGAUAAGUAAGCUUCUAAGUUAUGGGUGAGAUGGCUGAAGAUCUUGCUGACAAAUGAUGUUGUAGAAGCUGUAAAUCUGUAAAAUCAUUCCCCUUGGAAGAAGGUUUUGGAAACCUUUCGAUAUCUCAGUUAGUGGUUAUGAGCUACCUAAAUGGAUUUCAAUAAAUUAUAAUCAUAUAGACUUUUAUUUAGGUGACUUUCAGUGGUAUGGUUUGAAGCUCUAAAAAAAGAGACAAUAAUGCACUGGCCGUUUAGAGUUUUUCUUACUACCCAAGAGUUAUAUAGAGAUUAACUUUACUUAAGUCAUUUAUUCUAUCACAUAUGGUAAGUGAGCAUGAAAUUAUCUUUCUAUACUCGUUUAAUCAACCCAAAUAUAAUUCUUUAUGACUUGCAUAGCUUUUCAAAGUUCUCUAUCCGAGAGGGGGUUAAAUUCAUUUUAUAAGGCUAGGUCAUGGGCCUCAUUAAUCAAAACCUUCAUGGUUUUUAACUCUAAUAAGCCUUAUACUUUUAACAUAACUUUAUUAAACAUUGCUUUUAUGCUUUCAUCUUCUUUUUUUGUUUAAGAGAUAACAAAUUUUUUUUAUAAAACUUAUUUAUAUUGGGAUACUAGUGCUAAAUCAGAAAAUGAGCUUAACAAAGAGAUCCUCAAAAAUAAAUAUAGAGUCAGAGUUUAAGUUAUGUCACCAUGUUUGAGCCCUCUAAAUAUUGUAGGCAAAAUCUUGUACAUCACGUCAAUGUCUUACAUGAUUAACUAUAUACUGCUAUAUAUAUAUUUUACACAUGCUAUGUAAAAAGUAAUUAAUCCAUUAUAACUAUAUAAUUUUAUUUCAGCAGAGAUAAAGUUUUAAUGGAGACAAGUAUCGAGACAUAUUUUAUUAGUAAAAAGAUCUUUACUGAUGAGGAUUGUAUAAUUCUACGUCAAUGGUCUAAACCACCAUAAACUUGACUUUUACUCGUGACUUCUAUCAGGAUUAUUAGAGGAGUUGAGGAAUAAUUGUGGUGGUUAUGGAUCUUUUCAUGGAUUUGGUUAUAUGUUUAUUUUUUAAGCUUUUUUCAUAUUACUUCUCUAUUGUUUACUUGGAGAGUGCUUCUCAUAGCUGCAAGAACGACUUCCUAAAGGUUAUAAGAGUGAUGAAGAUCUCUUGUUUUUUUUUUUUACCAUGUCAUUUUGUUCUUCCCCACUCUAAAAAAGGAAUUUUUUGAACAUAUUAGAAGAAGAAAGAGGUGAAACAAGUGGAGUUGGUAGGGCUUUUGGCUAUUUCUAGCUUCAGUUAGAAGCUUCACUUGUUGACAUAAUCUUUAGAGAUCGGAAGCAUUGUUAGUUGAUAGGCCAACAAAUCUUCCAACCCUUGAUAUAUCUUGAUUAGCGGUCAUAGUAAAAAGAACAUUAAACUUAUAAACUAGAAAAAAGGAACUAGUAUUUGUUCAAAGAUUUUUUCCAUGAAUAGUGUCACUAUAAGGUUAUUGAAAACCUUUAAUGAGAACGAUUUUUUAAAGUGGCUGAGGAGAUAAUAGAAAUAGACUUCUGUAGUCGUAAAAUAACACUCUUUAUGGAUUUGGGAUAGAGAUAAUAAUCUGAACAUGAUGAAUACCGAUGUGAAUAAAAUGAUAUUUUUUGAAUUCAAUGAAUAAUAAAUAAUUAUAAAUACAGUUAAAAUCGACUCAAAACCUGCUCGAACCUAACCUAAAAUAUAUAUUUAUGUUAUAAAAAUAUGUAUGUAGAAUAUUUAAAUUUUUUUUAAUACAAAUAUAAUAUGAUAUAUACUAAGGUUAUUUAUGUCAUUUUGAAUCCAUGGGGGCAGGGGCGAAGCAAGAAAAGAAAGUUUGAAGGGGCCAAGAAAUAUAAAUUGAAGGGCCAAGAAAUAUUAUAAAUAUUUAUAAUUAUAAAUAUACAAGGGAGGGACAUUUUCUUGCAGGGGUCGGGGCCCCUGCCAGCCCCCCCUCCCUCCACCACUGCAUAGGGGUAUGCUCAUGUAAAAUAAUUAAUGUAUUUAUUAUCUAUAAUUUUGAAUAAAAGCCAUAGUGAUAUAAAGUCAAGCUGUCAUCAUUCUAGGUUAUAUGAGUUAUGUGUGGUUGAUGACAAGCAUAAACUUAUUUUUAAAAAUAAUAUUUGGGUGAGAGGCAUGCUUGCAUUGAAUAUAUGUGUGUUUUGUUUUUUUAAUUAAUGAUAAAUGGAUAAAGAUAUAGUUGUUAAACCUGACUUGGUGGUUAACCCGGUUUAAUGAUCGAGUCACGGGUCAUAUAAGUUGCCCCGGGUUAACCCGGGUCAACCAAAAAAAAAAAACUAUUGGAUUUCAACUUCUCAUUAAAGCAAAUGCUCCAAAAAGGUAACUUUGAGUUCAGGCAACGUAAUUAAUUUUGCCUGUCAUAUCCCAUGAUCUGUAUAGUUGUAUCCCAUCCACGUUGAUGCUGUCAUUUCUUGUACGAGAACAAAAAAAAUAUGGUAAGAAAUUUUACAAAAAUACCCCAAUUAAAAACACAACAAAAAACUCAAUAAAAAAAAUCCAAUUCCAAAAACAAAUACCCAUUUCCAUAAAUUUUCCAUGAUCCCACCAUUAAAAACACAAAAAAGUACAGACACCAUUACAGACUAUACUUGUGGACACCUUGAAAAGUUUUAAUCUUUUUAGCAUAAGAGGAAGAGGAUUACUCUCUCAAAACCUUAGAACCUCUUUCUAAAGCCUCAGAUCAAACCCAGUAGUGUUGUUCGUGGGUGAUCAUUUCUAGGAGCUCUAAAUUACACGUCGCCAUUGAUUGAGGCAAAGUGGAUGGCUGAGAUUGUACAGAAGAAGAAGAAGAAGAUUAAGGGGAAGGACAACGAUUUGUAAAAAAGAAAUGAGAGAAACUGAAAGGGCCAUUAGCCAAAAAAAACAAAAUUUGAUUGAGAAAAAAAAAGGAGGCUGUUAUUGCUGAUAUUAGCCCUCCGAUUUCACUUGUUUUUCCCUUCUUUUUUUCUUUUACUGUGUAGAGAAAUAAAAAGAUAGAUAGUGUAUACAGUGACCUUGGGCAAGAUAGUUGCAAUGGAAGGAGAGACGAAGAGCAAAACAGUAGGCCGGGUCUCAUCCAGGUUUACCCGGGUCGACCGGGUUUUACCGGGUUAAAUCCCUGGCAGUUUUUUACUUGGACCUGAUCCGAUUUCAGGCCUGGGUCGGCCCCGGGUCGACCCGCUGGGUCGGGCCGAGUUUCAAAACUAUGGAUAAAGAUUUAACUAUAAGGUUAUAAAAUUAUAUAUAUUAAGCAAAAUCAUGGCAACCCAAGCAAGAGCUUCCUGUUUGAAAAUAUGGUUUCAGUAGUUUUUUAAAGUGUUUUUCACUUAGAAAUAUAUUAAAAUAAUAUUUUUUUUUAAAAAAAAUUUUUGAAAUUUACUCAUUAUAAUGAUUUAAAAACACCAAAAUAUAUUAAUUUAAAAUAAAAAAAAUUUAAAUUUUUUCAAAAACACUUUUAAAA